GUCUCCAUUUUCAAAAUUUAUCUUUUACUUUCAUCUUCCAUCCCCACAAUGUUUUAGUUGGAUUGAUGUCCUUGAGCCGAAGGUUUUUCAUAAACAACCUCUUUAUCUCCAUUAGAUAGUGAUAAGAUUUGCAUACUCUCCACAUUCUUUAUACUCUAACUAAGUGGAUUUCACUAGGUAUGUUGUUGUUGAUGAUUAUAUUUUCACGAGGGAAAAGAUGGAAAAGCUCCUUCUAGUGUUGAUAGUUUUAUAUGAAUAACUUUUCAGGUGGAAAGCUCUAAUCUUAAAAAUUGAAUUACCAUCUUGUCCCUCUACUAAAUUAAGAAUUUAAUUAAAUAAUAGUAUUUUAAUUAUCUAAAGAUUGAAUUAUAUAAAAUUAUAAAAAAUACAUCCAUAAAUACAUCUUCCUCAUAUUAAAAGAAAAUGUAAUUGACCUAAAUUUAGAAUGAACAAUUGUAAUCCAAUAAUAGAAAGGAGAAACACCCUAGAUAGGAGCGCUUUCUCUCGUAAGGAAGUUUUCAAACAAACUAAAAAUUCAAAGUUGCUCUUUCUCCUAUAAAGAUCGUGAUUUUUUGAACGAAGAAGAAUGAAUCACAGUUUGGUCCUAAAGGAGGUAACGAAAAGAACCCGACUUAACAAAAUAUAAUUGAAUUGGUUGGAAAAUAAAUAAUGAAUAUUAAAUAGUCAUUUUAUAAAAACUAAUAUGUUCAUGUGUAAUUUUACCAUUCCCUUGUAUUGCAAGAACAUAACCUUCUCUUCCAUGAACUUCAUCAAAUGAUAGAGUAGUGUCAACAUGAGGAAAUAAUUUGUUACACACUCGAUGCAAUUAAAUUAGUAAAAUCAUCGUUAUGUUUCUCUUAACCAAAUUGAAUUAAUAUAUGAUUCAACUUACUAAGAGAAAAAAUAAUAUAUAUUAAUACUAAUUUAUUUGCAUGUCAAGUGUGUGGCAAAAUAUCUCUUUAUGUAGUACAACACAAUACUUAAUCAUUUGAUCAAGUUUACGGAAGACAAUGUUAUAUGUUAACAAUAGAACGAAAUGUUUUAAAAUCAUGAAUGAAUAUGUUAGUUUAUAUAGUAUUAUUAUUUGAUAUUCAUUAUUUAUUCGCUGACAAAUUUAAAUUUGCGUUAAGUCAACUUUAUUUUGUUACCCCUUUAGAACCGUCUAUAAUUCAUUUUAGUUCAAUCAGAAAAUCACCAUAUUAAUAAGAGGACCUUUGAAUUUAUAGUUUGUUUAAAGACUUUCUUUCAAGGGAAAGCGUUCCUAUACAGGUGUUUCUCCCUUCUAAUUUUGGAUGGCAAUUCAUUCUAAAUUAAGGCAAAUCAAUUUUUUUUAUACGAGGAAGAUGAACUUUGAAUCAUUAGUUUAAGUAAAACUUCCUUAACAGGGUAACAAUCUAACCAAAGUGAAAUAAAAAGUUAUGUUGGAGUUGUUCACUGGUAGCAUAGUUAUGAUGUUGAGCUACCCCAAGAUGCGUACCCAACCAAAGAUCACAAGUGACCCCAAGCUAACUUUCAUACAUCAGCAUACUAUGAUAACUGAAAUGAAAUAAUAUUGAGCGUAAGCUUUAUGAAAAAUUAAAUUGAUUGGGAAUACCCAUUCUAAAACUGAAUAUGUAAGAAAACUAAGAGUUUUAACACAACUUAAAGUCAAGCUCAAAUGAAAUAAAGCUAAAUCUAGUUAUGUCUGAAAUAAGCCUAACUGAUUAGAAAUGCUAGGACAUACCCUAGCUAGACUGAAACAAAAAAUUAAAAACGAAGGGAAAUAAUUAUGUCACGUGUCCUCAAAGGAUGAGGACUCACCACUGUAACUGUUGAACUGAAGAUCGGGAACCGAUUUAAACGUGAUCUGGAAGCUUAAAACCUGAACCUACAUCACUAGAAGAUGUAGCGCAGAGUAUGUGUUAAUACUUGAAACGUCAAGCACAUCGAUAUGUGGUGCUCACUUGUCCACAAGUCAUGCCAUUCGUUGAGUGAGUAUUUAUGGAAAUCAAUUUACAAUAUUGUAUUUGAUCUUACAUUGUUUUUGGUCUAUAGUUAAGAUUUAUGUAUAUUUUUUAGUUUGAACUCAUUGUAGUUUUUAAGUUGUUAUAAACUUGCUCAUAUAAAUUUACACUUUUGGGAACUGAUUUGCCGACAUAGUAAAUAUGGUCGAGUAUCAACAAAGGUAUCCUCAUAAUUUUGUAGUGAUUUAAUGUAUUCAUAUAUCAGUGUUCCUUGGUUCAUUUAUGUUUUAGUUUCUUAAUAUUUGUGGACGAGUUCAUGAGUAAUGAGUCAUUUUGGACGAAAUUCUCUCAUUAAGAGUAUUAGUAUGGGAGUGCCUAUAGCUGCUUGGCUUACGCACUUUGAUCAAUCAAUGACUGUUUUCUUGGUAACAAACAGAUAGUGAAUACAUCCACUAUGCGGAAUGUGGUGCGGAAGUUGAUUGCAUCACAAGAUAGAGUUAUGAAUUAUGUAUUGAAUUUAUGCAUCUAUUUGUUGUAUGUAUGUAUUUUCUAUGCUGAAAUUGGUUAAGUAGGAAGAAAGCUGCAGGUUUCUAGUCUCUACUGUUGGAAUUAAUGCAUUAAUGUUUAGUCUUCUAAAAUUGUCUCUUAGUUUUUCAAGAAGUCUCUUUCGAAUUUUGUAGUACAUAUAUCGAGUAAAUUGUGAUACAUGUAUUUUGUUAUUUGUGCAUGACUUUUUCUUUUCUAUUUUGAGUAGUAUAAAUAGUGAUGUAGUUGAUGAUUGUAAUCAUCUCAAGUGGACUUAAGUAGCCUAUAAUAAACUUGAGCAUUCUCUAAAGAUACUAUUUCCUUCCAUAUUCCUACAAAUUGGUAUCAGAGCAGAUUUUCGUUCUUAAUCUGGGGUUAGGUGAAGAAAAAAUAUGUCAUCCAAAACAAGGUGCUGAUUCUUCAAUUGCUCUUACUCCAUUUUUGAUGGAAUUGAUUUUGAAUAGUGGAAGAUAAGAAUAAAAACAAAUUUGAAAGUUGAAGGUUUGUGAACUAUUGUUGCAAAUGGCUUUGAAAAGACAGACAAUGAUAGUGAGCAGCAGAGAUGAAAAAUCUUGAGGCUAUGUAUCGUCAAGAUGCAAAACCCUUGAGAAAAAUCCAAAUGGGAGUCUCAAGAGCAUAUUUUGCAAAAAUUGCUACUUGUGAGACUGCAAAGGAAGCUUGGGAUUCUCUGAAAACUGAGGGUGUAUGGUGACAAAAAGGUACGUACUAUAAAUCUUCAAUCUUUUAGAAGAGAGUUUCAAAAUUUGAAGAUGAUAGAAUUUGAAAAUAUUGAUGAAUAUUGCACAAGAGUCUUAAAUAUUGUUAAUGAAUUGAGAAAUCACGGUGAUACAAUUUCUGACCAACAAGUUGUGGAAAAGAUUCUAAUUAGUGUCACAGAAAAGUAUGAGUAGGUUGUUGCUAUCAGUGAGGAGACCGAAGAUCUUUCUAAGCUUUCCAUCAAAAAGUCAGAAGCAUUUGCUACAUUCAAGAAAUUUAAAGCCCUUGUUGAGAAGUAAAAAGGUUGCAGCAUCAAAACCAUUCGUAGUGAUAGAUGAGGUGAAUAUACAAGUCGAGAAUUUGAAGAAUAUUACAAAAUGAAGGCAUUCAGAAGCAACUUACAGCAAGGUGUACUCCUCAACCAAAAAGUGUAUCUAAAAAAAGAAAUACAAUAAUUGUUGAAAUGACCAGAACUAUGAUGAAUGAGAUAGGAAUGCCAAAAUAUUUUUGGUAGAAGCAGUGCAUACAACAGUUCACAUCCUUAACAGGUGUCCAACAAAGGCACUAAAGGACUAGACACCAGUUGAAGCUUGGCGUGGAAUUAAACCUUCUGUAAGUCAUUUUAUAAAUUUUGGGUGUAUUUGUUAUGGUCAUGUACCUGCUGAGAAAUAAACAAAAUUGGAUGAAGAAAGUCAAAAAUGUAUCUUUCUUGAUUAUAGUGAUGUGACAAAAGUAUAUAGGCUUCUCGAUGUCAAAACUAACAAACUUGUUAGAAGAGAUGUCAUUUUUUAUGAAAAAAACAACAUGGAAUAGAGAAUACUACUAUCAUAUCUUCAAAUCAAGAAGAGGAUGAGAAGGAUGAAGAUGUUUCUCAAGAGGGAGAAAUACCAAAUUCAGAUGAUGAAGAACCGCUUCCAAGAGGAACAAAAAUAUUGAGUGACAUUUAUUAAAGAUGUAACUUUGUCGGUGUUGAGCUAGAAAAUUAUGAAGAAGCAAUAAAGCAUGAUGUUUGGAAGAAAAUCAUGGAAAAAGAAAUUCGGAUGAUUGAAAAAAAUAAUACUUGGGAGCUUGUGGCUAUACCGAGUGUAACACCUCUUAUCCAAAACAAACCAAAAAUAGCUUUAUAGAACAAUCUGUAGGUGCAACCAACGGUGGCAUCGACAGAUCGUAGACUGACCCACAGUUUUUUCUACACAUCCGUUGAUGGAAGGACCUACGGUCCGUAGGUCUAGCUAUGUUCCAUAGUUUAUGACCGUCGAUUGAGACCUCAUUCACCCACUUUCUGACAGCCAUAGAUGACCAACACGGUCUGUAGGUGGACCCACGGUCGGUAGGUCUGACCGUAGGUUGGAAUUAGCAGGCAGUUAAAGGGGAAGUGCAGUUGGGUCAACUUCAAAUGGUCAUAACUUGUAGCACAAAAUGAAUUAGGUGUCCCAUGACCUACCUAAUUAGCUUUUCAUAGCCACAGACUUUGCUAAAAUCUGACCUCCGAGUAAAAAGUUAUGCCUGUUUCAGUACAGGCCCGUCGAAUAGGCCCAACCUACGGACCAAACGAAGGACCGUCGAUGGAACGACGGACGGUCAGUCCAGGUCGCCGUUUGGUCCGACAACACUUUACCUAGGGGUGUUUUGGUCUUUUCCAAUUUCGUUUAAACCCUAAGAUACGUCAUUUUGACUCUAAAUCAUCAUAUUUUAGUCAGUUUAAUCCAGAAACACAACUAAAACUUAUAUAAGUCAAAUAAUUAAUCAAAACUUAGAAAAUUAAAAGCAAGAAAAGAGAAAAAGUCAAGACCCUAGUUCAAGAACGUAGCAAGGCUCCAGCAAUUCCAGCCACUAAAUCUAAGUGUUUCUCCGUAAAUUUCAUCACCAAGUAUGUGAGAUUUCACUACUGGGUUCCUUUCACCCAUUGGGUUUUCUAGUUUUCAGCCAGAUUCUUAAUUCCAAUAUCAUUAAUAGACUUAGGGUUUCUAGCACUUCAAUAGAACUUCAUGAACUUAUUAGUUAUAUGUUCCAAAUCAAAUUAUCAUGUUAUUACUCAAUUAAUUGCAUGAAUUUCAGAACCCUAGCUAUGUAUUUCUUUAGUUCUUGAAUUACACAAGCUAGAUCAAAUAUUUCAGCUAUUCAUUUAUAUAUGCCUUAGUUUUUAAUGCAUCAUUAUCAGUUUAAAUGUUGCAUUCUCAGUUUUCAUGUUCAGUUUUGACCUAUCCUGUAAUUAAAGAAAACUCAGUCACAAUCAGUUAGUUACAUAAUUCAUGGGAGUAGCAUAAUACAAAAUUGGAUUUGGGUUCAGCGUAACCAAUUAGUCCCAGAACUACUAGCCAAGUAGGUUGUAAGUCCCCUUUAUGGGCAAUUAGUUUAUUGAUCGCGCCAACAUGCCUUUAUACCUUUGGCAGAGUAUAUUGGGUCCUCUCAAUGGGGCAUAUACAUCGGACUCCACAUUUAGCUCAUUGGUUUUAUUAUCGGUUAUUAGUAGCUCCCACAUUUCAAACAGACUCUCUUGCAUUGACCAUUUAUUCGUAUACUGGAUAUCCAGUUUCAGCAUUUUAUAAAUUGGUCAAUGCAUUCGGAUAUCUCAGCAUUCAUAAUCUAUAUCAUGUUAAGAUUAUUAUACUUGCUUAUGCUUGUGAAGUUAUGUUUUAUUUCAGCUUUAUUCUAUCCUAUAUGCUUAGUACCUUUCGAAAACUGACGCAUACAUGCGCUACAUCUUCUCGUGAUGUAGGUUUAGGUUCUCAGCAUCCAAAUCAUGCAUAGAUUGAUUCUCUGAUCUUUAGUUCAGCAGAUUCAGUGGUGAGUCCUCAUUCUCCGAGGACAACAGUCAUGAGUUUCUUUUCGGUAUUUAGUCUUUUUGUUUCAAUUUUACUAGAUUUAGCUAGGGCUUGUCCCAGUACUUCUAGUCAGUUAGAGGCUUAUUUCAGACAUAGUUAGAUUCAUCUUAGUGUUGAGUUAGUGACUUCAUUGUAUUAAAGUCAUUAUUUUCAAAUAUAUCAAUUUUAGCAUAUGGGUAUUCCCAUCUUUUCAUUAUAAAUUAUGAUUUAGUUUCCUGCAUAAGUUUAUUAUCUUUAGUAUACUCAUGAUCAUGCUAGCAGGUUUAGCUUGGGAUCACUUGUGGUCCUAGGUUCCUUGUCCGCGUCUCGGGGUUAGCUGAGGGCGUGACACCUAGAAAAAGAGAAGUUGUAAGUCUAAAAUGGAUUUACGAAAUCAAACUCAAUCAGGAAGGAGAUAUUUAAAAGCACAAAGCAAGGUUGGUUGCUACAGGUUUCAUGCAAAAAGCAAGUAUUGAUUUUUAUGAAACUUUCUCUCCAGUUGCUCGUCUUGAGACAAUUAGAACUGUAAUUGAUGUUGUUGCACAAAUGAAAUGGAUGAUAUUUCAACUUGAUCUUAAACCUGCAUUUCUGAAUGGAAAACUUGAUGAAGAGAUUUAUGUUGAGAAACCUCAAGGAUUUUUUGUUCAAGGGGGAGUAGAGAAGGUGUACAGGCUAAAAAAAGCUCUUUAUGGGAUGAAGCAAGAUCCAACAGCAUGGUAAAAUGAAACUGAUACAUACUUUCUAAAAAAUAAUUUUUGUAUGUGAAGAAAGAAAAUGACAACAUUAUCAUUGUUUGUCUCUAUAUGGAUGAUCUGCUCUUUAUAGGAAAUAAUGUAAAGAUGAUACAAAAAUUCAAGAAGGAUAUGAUGCAAGCUUAUGAAAUGAGUGAUCUUGGGUUGCUAAAUUAUUUCUUGGGCAUCGAAAUUUCUCAAGUGAAAGAAGAAAUUUUUGUUUCUCAAAAGAAUUAUUCUUCAAAAAUUCAAAAUUAUGGAUUGCAGGUAUGUGGUCAUACCAUUAGCAACAAAGGAGAAUCUUAGAAAAGAUGAUGGAAAAAAGAAAGCUAAUAGCUCACUUUAUAGGAGCUUGAGUGGAAGUUUGCUAUAUCUUAUCAACAAGGCCAUAUAUUAUGUUUGCUGCUUGUUUAUUAUCCAAGUUCAUGCAAAAACCAAGCCAAGUGCUUUUUGGAGCUGCAAAGCGUAUUCUACGCUACUUGCAAGGAACAAAGGAUUAUGGGAUAAUGUAUAAAUUCGGUCGAGAUUUGAACUUAAUUGGUUAGAUAACAUGAAGAGCACUUCUAGCUAUGCUUUAUUAUUUGGAUCAAGUAUUUUUUUUUUUCUUGGUUAUCAAAAAAGCUAAGUGUUGUUGCUUAAUCCACCGCCGAAGCAGAAUAUGUUUCAGCAUACAAGGCUACUUCUCAAGCUAUUUGGCUUAGUAGAACGUUUGAAGACAUUGGUGAAAAACAAAAAAAGAGGGAUUGUUCUGUAUUGUGAUACAAAUCAGCAAUUGCAAUUGCCAAGAAUCCAGUCAUCCAUGAAAGAUCAAAGCAUAUUUCCAUCUAGUAUCAUUUUAUUCGAGAAGCACAAGAGGAAAGCGAAAUUCAGUUGCAUUUUUUUAGACAGGAAAACAACUUUCUGACAUCUUCACCAAAGAAUUUCCUAGAGAAAAUUUUUGCAAUCUUCGAGAACGCAUUUGAUUUAUCAAACAAAUACAUUAAGUAGGAUUGUUGAAAUUAAUGCAUCAAUGUUUAGUCUUCCGAAAUUGUCUCUUAGUUUUUCAAGAAUUCUUUUUAGAAUUUCGUCGUACAUGAAUCUAGUAAAUUGUGAUAUAUGUACUUAGUUAUUUGUGCAAGACUUUUUCUUUUCUAUUUUGAGUAGUGUAAAUAGUGAUGUAGUUGAUGAUUGUAAUCAUCUCAAGUGGCCUCAAGUAGCCUAUAAUAAACUUGAGCAUUCUCUAAAGAUACUAUUUCCUUCCAUAUUUCCUACAUCUACGAGCAAUUCUCGUUCUUGCGUUUAUAGUAUGUUUAACUAAUAAGUAAUUGUCUAUGUAUGUGUAUAUUUACAACUUAUUUAAUAUGUAUGCAUAGAUGUCGAAGCAAAACCAGUAUAAAAAUAUUGUGCUUUGUUAGGUAUAUUCUCACCUAGUUAUUAAUGUUUUACAGUUUAAAAUUUUUAGAUGACAAUGGAAAAACUGUUGAUCGAGGAAGAAUGUGAACUGAGACUGAUAGGAGAAAAGAUAGAAGUUAUGUAACUGAGGUGACUAAGGAGAUUGGGGUAAGUAUUCUUUUUGUAGACAAUUACUCGAGUAGAUGUUUAUAGUAGUGCACAAAUUGGGAAUUUGGUUUAAUAAUGACAUGAUGCUAGAUUAGAAGGUAGUGGAAUAAUAGGUUGCUUAGUAUUGUCGUACAUUUAUGUGGGAGAGGCAGAGGAUAGUCUCCUCUGCUUAUCGUCUUUGUAUCUGGUAGUAAUAUUUAGUAUUUACCUAGUAUCUUAUUAAAUAGACAUAAAAUCCAUUGAGAUAUAGAAGAUGAACAAUUUUAUAAAUCCAACAUACAAUCCACUGAGACAUAAAAAAUGUCAAUGUGUGCGUAUCCAAACUUCUAAAACUAGUCUAUUUUUAGAGAAUUCGACAUGGAUGCGACAUAAAAAGUGAAGAGUCUGCACAACUUAGAUAUAAAUGAAAUAUAAGUAUUUACUAUUUUGUAAACUAAAUGGUCAAAUAGUAAUAUUGAUUACUAUUUCUUUUUGUAUUACUGAGUAAUGCAUUUGUAACUAAAAUUCGAUUCCAAAAGCGUAUAAUACAUUUUCCACAAAUAAAUAAUUGUAUUUUCCUCGAUUUAGAAUGAAAUCUCACCCAAAAAUAGAAGCGAGAAACACCAUAGAUAUGAGCGUUUUCUCUCGUAAGGAAUUUUUUCAGACAAACAAAUAAUUGAAAGUUCCUCUCCCUCCUAUCAAGAGGUGAUUUUCUGAUUUUGAACGAGAAUGAAUCAUAGUCGGUCCUUAAAAGAGGUAUCAAUAAAUCGACUUAACACCAUACAAAUUAGUUAAAAAAUAAAUAAUGAAUAUCAAAUUAUUAUAUCAAAUAGUAAUAAUAUAUAAACUAAUAUGUUCAUUUGUGAUUUUACCAUUUCCUUGUAUUGCUAGUAUAGGCCAAAUCAAUUGGUGACCCCCUAAAUAUGGCACCAAUUUUUACUUAAACACUUCAAUUAGGCGAUGUUCAUUUUAGACACGCCAUUCAGGGUUAAGUUGUGUCAUUUUGACACUUUUCUGACAAUAAACAAAGAACUAAAGGAGAGUGUAAUACACUCGUUCAUGACGUGACAAACAAUCAUUUAAAUAAUUGCAUAUGUUAUUUUCAGUUUUAAAAAAUAAUAAAAUCUAUUUAGCCAAUAAAUCAAAAAAUUAUUCUAAGAAAAUCUCUUAUUUCAUUACACUCAAAAUCUCUUUUGUGCUUUUUUUUUCUCAAAAAAUUCUUUUCUUUUACUAUUUUUCAUAUUUAUUUAUCUUUUUAUUUUUAGUAUUGUGUUUUGGAAAGAAAAGAGGGACGAGAAGAAAGAAAAAAAGAAUAUAUAUGAAAUAUGGGUGUUGGUAUCCAUUUUUCCGACAAAAAAAUGGAGGGAGGUGAUGGUAGAUUUAGAUAAGUAAUACAAUGAAAGAAGAAGAAAAUGACUUAAAAACGAAUUUGAAAAAAAAAAUUGACCUUCAUUGAAGGAAUUUAAGAUUGAAAAAAAGUAGGGGUGGUGGCUUGAAAAAUGGAGAAGAAGAAGAGAAUAAAAUUAAAAAUGGCUAAAUUAAGUCUUUCACGCGCUAUUGUUGAGUGUAUCACACUCACUUUGACAUGUCAGCAAAAAAUGUCAAAAUGACACGAUAGAACCCUAUAUAAUGUGUCUAAAAUGUACAUCGCCUAAGUGAGGUGUCUAAGUGAAAAUUGGUGCCAAGUUUAGGGGGAGUAUAUAACCUUUUCUUCCAUGAACUUGAUCAAAAUGAUAGAGUAGUGGCACAACACGAGGAAAUAUUUUACUACACACUCGACAUGCAAUUAAAUUAUACAAGUCAUUGUGAUGUUUUUCUUCAUUAAUCUGAAUCAUAUUUUAUUAUUUAAAGUGGAAAGCUCUUGAUUUUGUGAUGUGACAAAAUAGUAAUCCAACUUAAAGAUAAGAGUUUCCCACUUUAAAUAAUAUAUGAUUUGACUUAAUUAAGAGAAAUAUAGUAGCUUAUACUAAUUUAAUUGCAUGUCGAUUGUGGGGCAAAAAAUUUUCUCACAUUGUGCCACUAGUUUAUCAUUUUGAUCAAAUUAAUGGAAGAAAACAUUAUACGGUAGCAAUACAACGAAAUGGUAAAAUCAUACAUGAAUAAAUUAGUUUAUAUAUUAUUAUUAUUUGAUAUAAUAUUUUGAUAUUCAUUAUUUAUUUGUUGGUCAAUUUAUAUUAACGCCACGUCAAUUUUUUUAUUUCUUUUAAGAUAGACUAUGAUUCAUCUUAUUCGAUCAAAAACCUACAUCUUGAUAGGAAAGAGUUUAAUAUUUUUAUUUGUUUGAAAACAUCCUUACAAGAGAAAACACUCUUAUCUUGGGUUUUUCUUGUAACUAUUUUUGUGGCAAUUCAUUUUAAGUAGAGGCAAAUUACCUUUUUUUUUACAAGGAAGGUGAAGUUUCCAAAGGAUUAUAAAUACAUAUUCCUCAUAUAGAAAUGUCACGCUCUGAGCUACCCCCGAGACGCGGACACGACCUAGGAUCACAAGUGACCUAAAGCUAACCUUGUAGGCAAUUUGGCAUACAUAAACAUACUAUGAUAACUGAAAUGAGAUAAUAAUGAGGGUAAGCUUUAUCAAAACUGUAAGUGAUGAAGAAUACCCAUUCUAAAACUGAAUAUAUAAGAAAACUUAGAGUUUUAACACAGCUGAAAGUCAAACUCAAAUGAACUUAAGCUAAAUCUAGCUAUGUCUUGAAUAAGCAUCUACUGACUAGAAAUGCCGGUACAUACCCCAGCUAGAUCUAGCAAAUACUCAAAAUAAAGACUAAAAACAAAGGGAAAUAAUCAUGUCACUUGUCCUCGAAGAAUGAGGACUCACCAUUGUAACUGAUGAACUGAACAUCGAGAACCUAUUGAUCUAAGCGUGAUCUGGCAGUUGAGAACCCGAACCUACAUGAAGAGAAGAUGUAGCGCAAAGUAUGUAUCAGUACUUGAAACGUCAAGCAAAUCGAUACUCAAUUGUGCGCAAGUCAUGCCAUUCAUUGAGUGAGUUUUUAAGGCAAACAAGCUUCCAUCAUUCUAUUUGAUGAUCUUACAUUGUCUUUGGUCUGUAGUGAAGAUAUAUGUUUAGUUUUUAGUUUGGACUCAUUGUAGUUUUUAAGUUAUUAUAAUUCUAUGCUUUUGGAAACUGAUUUAUAGACAGAAAAUAUAGUUCAGCGCCAACAAAUGUAUCCUUAUAAUUUUGUAGUGAUUUAAUGCAUUUCAUAUAUCAGUGUUUAUUGGUUCCUUUAUGUUUUAGUUUGUCACUUAUAAAACUAGUAUUGUUAGUUAGUAAGCUAGAAAAGUGAUGAGUGUUUGAUGGAUGAGUUUCUGAGUGAUGAGUCAUCUAGACGGCAUUCUUGCAUUAAGAAUAUUACUAUGGGAGUGCCUAUAGGUUCUUGGAUUACGCACUAUGAUCAAUCAAUGACUGCUUUCUUGGUAACAGACAUGUUAAAAGUAGGCCUGAUUGUGAGGGAGUGGCAGAAACGCGAAGAGAUGGUGAUUGCAUCCACUAUGCGUAACGUGGUGAGGAAGUUGAUGACAUUAUAAGAUAGAGUUGUGAAUUAUGUGUUGGAUUUGUGCAUCUAUUUGUUUUGUGUAUAUAUUAUCUAUGCCAAAUUUGGUGUAGGAAGAAAGCUGCAGGUCUCUAGUCUCUACGAGCAAUACUAAUUCUUGCGUUGAUAAUAUGUUUAACUAGUAAGUAUUUGGUUAUAUAUGUGCAAAUUUACAACUUGUUUGAUAUGUAUGCACAGAUGCCGAAGCAAAACCAGUUUACACAUGAUGUGUUUUGAUAGGUAUAUUCUCAAAUGGCAUAUGGAAAUGCUGUUGAUUGAGGCAGAAUGUGGACUGAGACUCAUAGGAGAAAAGAUGGGGUAAGUAUUCUUUCUGUAGACAAUUACUCGAGUAGAUGAUUAUAGUAGUGCACAAUUUGAGAUUUUGUUCUUUAACUCAAUUUGCCUUAAUUAUAACCCUAGAUAAGAAGGUUUGGUGGUCGAAGAUUAGGGUAAUGGAAUAGUAGGUAGCUUAGUAUUGUCGUACAUUUAUGUGGGAGACACAGAGGCCAGUCUCUUUUGCUUAUCGUCUUUGUAUCCAGUAGUAAUAUUAGUAUUUACCUAAUAUCUUAGGGAUAAUGCCCAAAUACCCCCUCAACCUAUGCCCGAAAUCUCAGAUACACACUGAUACUAUACUAAGGUCCUAUUACCCCCCUGAACUUAAUUUAUUAAAAUUUUUUUACCCCUUUUUAGCUUACGUGGCACUAUCUUGUGGGUCAAACGAUGGUUGACUUUUUUUUCGAACUAGUGCCACGUAGGCUAAAAAGGGGUAGAAAAUUACAUAUAAAAUAAGUUCAGGGGGGUAAUAGGACCUUAGUAUAGUACAAGUGUGUCUCUGGAAUUUCGGGCAUAGGUUGAGGAGAUACUUGGGUAUUUUCCCAAUAUCUUAUUUAAUAGACAUAGAAUCCAUUGAGACAUCUGAAGAUGAAUAGUAGUAUAAAUCUGAUAUAUAAUCCAUUGAGACAUCAAAAAUGUCAAUAUAUAUAGUAUAUUUUUAGUAAUAAAAUCAUUAUAUCAAAUAGUAAUAAAAUAUAAACUAACUGGGUAAUUUACCCGCGCUUAGUACGACAUAAGAAAUCUUUCUAACCUUUUGAACAACUUUACAAAUGAUCGACUCUUAUAAGAAAAAAAGUAAAUUUUUGUAGGUUUUUAGAACAUUUAUAGACAAAUUACACGAUUUUACAUUAUUUCAUGUCUCAAAAAUUUUAAAAUAUAAUUAAUGAUUUAAAAUAUCUUGAUAUCUAAUUAUUUUUAUAUUUUGCAUAAUUAUCAUAUUAUAUGUUUGAUGAUAUAAUAUUCUCGUAAAAGUUGAGUGAUAUUUUUAUGUAGCGAUUAAUAACCUUUUUAUAUACAUGAAAAUAUAGAAUAUGAUAAUUCUAUGGUUAUCAUAACUCCUUGUGUAAAAAAUUUUUAUGCUAAUAUUUUUUAUUAUCAAUAUUAUUUAAAAAUAAGUUAUGCCCGUUAAAAACUAUACACCGCAACAACAUAAAUAAAAUUUUUAGAGACAAUAUACUUGUCUGAGGUCAAAUUUUCUCCACUUUUUGUUAAUAUUACUUUGUUAUUCUAAGAAAAAUUUAUACAAGGAGAAAAAUAUAUUUUUGAACAACAAAAAAAUAAUAUCGUUGCCCUUAUAGAAAUUCAUUCUUCAUUAAACUCUGGAAGACCCUUCCGGAUUCUUCAUUAAUGCAACUUUACGACUUUUUAGGAAUAUUUAUUUAUGAUUGUUACAUUUGAAAGUACACAUAAAUUAGAAUGUUGUAUUGUAGACUCAUGUUAAAGAAACAUUCUUGAAAAUUAAAAAAUUAAAAAUGAGUCUAUCCUAGAUAAUUCGAACGCUCAACAAUGACUUGGAACAUGAAGGAUAACAAAUCUAUAUUAAUAGACAUAUCUUUUGUAGAUUAAAAUAUUAUUUUUAUUUAGAGUAGAUUUUGCUUCAUAUUCUUUAAAUUAAGCUUGACUGAAAUAGUCGUAACUCACAACAAAAAUAUUUAGAAGAGACGAAUGAAAAGGAAAAAUAAGGAAAAUAUUAAAAGGACUAAAAUCAUUAUCAUAGUCAGAUUAUAUACAUACAAACCAAAAAUAAUCAACAUAAUUGUAAGGAGACAACAUAAUAGCAAGAAAAACAUACAUUAAAGGGAGUAAACUAUAGGAUGUUCAAAGAUGAUAAUAAAUCAUUCUAACCAGAAAAGUUCUUAUCUUUUGAAAUGACAUACCUUAAAGAAUUGACUAGCAUUUCAAUCAACUUUUCAAUCCUUAAAGUAAUCAUAAUAUCCAGUGAUAAAAUUAGGGAUAAUGCACAAGUACCCCCUCAAUCUAUGCCAAUAUUCUCAGAGACACACUUAUACUAUAAUAAGAUCAUAUUAUCCCUCCUGAACUUAUUUUAUUAAUAAUUUUCAACCUCUUUUCGACCUACGUGACACUAUCUUGUGGGCCCAACACUGGUUGACUUUUUCUUUCAAGCUAAUGCCACGUAGGCUGAAAAGGGGAAGAAAAUUAGUUAUAAAAUAAGUUCAAGGGGGUAAUAGGACCUUAGUAUAGUAUAAACGUGUCUCUGAGAUUUCAGGCAUAGGUUGAGGGGGUACUUGUGCAUUUUCCCAUAAAAUUAAAUAUAAGUAAAUAACAACAUAAAAAUAAAAAAUAUAUCCGCAUGCAUAGUUAUUAACUCUCAGAGAAUUUUUUGAAGGACACAAAAUCACAUCCUUGUAUGUGAAGGAAUAACGUUGUUGAUGAAGAGAUCUGAGAUUUGAAAAGGCUUUUUAAAUGUACAUCCAACAAUUUCAGUCGAGAAAACUUGCUUGAAUAUUCAAUUGACAUUUGUUAUUUAAUUUCUACUAACAAAUACUUAUAAUAACAGCUUUACAUAAACAUAAAUAACAAAGUUUAAAGCAUAUACUCAAAAACAACCAAUAGAAUAAGCAUAAACUAAUGAUUGUAAAAAAUAUAUUAGGAUAUGCAACAUUGAAAUAAAACAUAAUGAUACAAAUCGAGCCCAUUGUAUGCACAUUGUAGUUCUCCAUUUAUAGACAACAAAUGCUACUUAUAAAAAUGAUUAGUGUGUCUUAUCAGAAAUGAAACAAUUCUUUGGAAAAGUUACAACCUUUUAGAAAAGGAACAACAUUUCGUAAAAGUCGCAACUUUUCAUGACAAAAGUUUCAACAUUUCAUAAAAGUCACAACUUUUCAUGAAAGAGGAAACCUAGUUUUGUAAAUAAAAUAAAUUAAAGAAAAUCCUUGCUUGUGAUGUCACCACAUAGAGGUCCUAAGGUUCUCUUUAAUAUAAAUAUAUGAUACUUUAUUAUAUAGUAUUUUAAUUAAAUAACAGUUUCUAUUUUUUUUAAAAUUAUUUAAAAGUUAGUCUUUUAUUCCAAUUUAUUUCAAUUGUAGUCACUCCAAUUUAUUCAAAAUCCUAGCCCUUCAUCUCUUAUGAAAUCAAUGGUUGAGAUUAAAUUAUUCUUUUCCCUAUUUUAACUAUCAAAAAAUCUAAACCUAAACCCUAGUCUUCUUAUUCUCUCCUCCUCCCUGCCUUCCCCUUCGCUCUUCUCUUCUUCUUCUCCUCUCCAGCGAGCUGCCAUACAACUCCGACCAGCGGCGAUUAGUGAGAGAGGGCAGCGAAACUCCGGCGAGAUGCGCCAGACGGCGCCGCCCCUUCCCCCUUUUCUCCUUCCCUCUCAGAUCUCUCCUCCCUCCUCUUCUCCUUGUUCUUUUUUUUUCUCUCUCUUUGCAGGACCACCAGGCAGCAGGCUCCGGCGAAGAACAGCGACCAGCAGCAACGAGCCAACACCAGCAACAACAACAUGACGCUGCCUCAUCUCAAUCUCAAGCGAGCAUCUGCAAAAGCCAGCUCCGACCAGUAGCAAUUCGACGAUUCUCCUCUUUUGCGACGAGGACAGACAACAUACUCCGUUGAGCAUUUCGAGGUUUUGAGACAGAUCUUCAACAAAUCCGUCCAGGUAAGUUUCUUUUUUUUAAUUUCAUCUUUUUCUUCUAUACUUCUGGAUUUUAAGAUAUUCCGAGUUAUUUGGGUAGCUCCAUUGAUUCUUAGAAAACUAGUCUAGGCUGUGAUUUCUCUAUUGUUGCUUGUUUGUUCUUGUGGUGAUCUUUUUCAAAUAAAGAGCACAAAGAGCACAAAAUCUAUUAAGCACAAGUGAAUUUAGAAACCCUAAUCUAUAAAUCAUACAUUUUCAUACUAAACCUAAAUGCAAUUUGCAUUCCCAGCCCGCCUCAGUACUUAUUAGGUUAUUCCAGGUCCUUACUAGCAUCUGACAGACAAGACAAAUGUCCUCUAAUUAAUGCAACUCUAGAAGAAAAUAAUGCUUAUAUAUAUGGUAAUAACUAAUCUCUCCAUAACUUGUGUAGGAGUCUUCUGUUGUUCUCAGACGAGCGAGGGAGAAACGGUAAGUCUCCAUGUCUUCACAAAGUAAGCAUCGCAAACCACACAUGGUAAUUCUUGAAAAAUAUUUGUUGUAUGUAUGAUUUCAUUUUGUUAUUUGUUGUAUUUAGUAUUGGAAUGAAACAUAGCGGAGAGGAUUUAGUACUCCUAUGGUCUACCCCAUCUAUUCAGUUGUUUGUUACACAUUAUUUCGUUAUUGUUAUUUUUCCUAUAUGUGUAUUCCUUUUUCAAACUAUUUGGCAUGCUUUAUUUAUGCGGAGUUGUUUAUGAACAAGUCGGGGCUAAGAUUUAAGUGCUUCUUUACAAAGUAUAGAUUUAUCGAAACUGAUUCUGUUUAUGAGGUUUUGAUUCCUCUAAAUGCCAUAUUGAUAGAAAUCAGCCCAAAAGUUUGAGAGAUUUUUGUGGGAUUGAAUGAACCAACUUGCCUUUUGGAACCAAAUAUGAUGCUUUGAUCUACCAUGAAACUCUAAGAUAUACCUAUGCAUACUUCAAAGGCUAACUCUUGGGUAUAGUUCUUCUUGGACACCUUAGCUUGUAACUCAAUUUUGUCUCCAAAAUUUCUAAAUUUAUCUUUCACUUUCAUCUUUCAUCUCGGCUAUGUUUUAAUUCAGAGUUUCCUUCUUUUUUUUUAGUUGGAUUGAUGUCCUUGAACUGAAUGUCUUUCGUACACGACCUCUUAAUUUUCAUGAAAUAGUGGUAAGAUUCGAAUACUCUCUACAUUCUUCAUACUCUACUAAGUGAGAUUCCAUUAGGUAUGUUUUUGAUGAUGAUUAUAUUUUUACAAGGGAAAAGAUGGAAAAGCUCCUUCUAAUGUUGCAGUUUUAUAUGAAUAAAUUUUAAGCUGGAAAGCUCUAAUCUUAAAAAUUGAACUACCAUCUUGCAUAUCUACUAUAUUAAGAAUUUAAUUAAAUGAUAAUAUUUUAAUUAUCUAUAGAUUGAAUUAUAUAAAAUGAUAAUACAUCCAUAAACACAUCUUCCUCAUAUUAAAAAUGUAGUUAAGCUAGAUUUAGAAUGAAUUGUCACUCAAAAUAAGAAGAGUGAAACACCCUAGAUAGGAGUGCUUGCUCUUUUAAGGGAGUUUUUAAACAAAUUAAAAAUUCAAAGUUCCUCUUUCUCCUAUAAAAAUGGUGAUUUUCUGCUCGAACAAAAAUGGAUCAUAGUUGAUCCUCAAAGACAUAAUGACACCCCCCCCCAAUUAAUACAAAUAUAAUCUGGUUAGAAAUAAAUAAUUAAUAUCAAAUAUAAAUAAUAUAUAAACUAAUAUUCUCAUGUGUGAUUUUAUUAUUUCCAUGUAUUGCUAGCACAUACUGAUCAAAAUGAUAGAGUAGUGGUACAAAACAAGGAAAUAUUUUUCUACACACUCUGCAUUCAAUUAAAUUAUGUAAAUCACCAUUAUGUUUCUCUUAAUUGCUGAAUUAAUCUAUGAUUCAACUUACUUAAGAGAAAAAAAUAAUGUAUACUUAUACUAAUUUAAUUGAAUGCCAAGUGUGUGGCAAAAUAUUUUUCUUAUGAUGUACGACUACUAGAUCAUUUUGAUCAAGUUUAUGGAAGAAAAUGUUAUAUGCUAAUAAUUCAACGAAAUGUUAAAAAAUCAUGAAUGAAUAUGUUGGUUUAUAUGUUAUUAUUAUUUUAUAUUCAUUAUUGAUUUGCCGAGAAUUUUAGGACCGACUAUGAUUUGCUUUUGUACGAUUAGAAAAUUCCCUUCUUAAUAAGAGUAAUUUUUAAUUUUUAGUUUGUUUAAAAACAUUCUUGCAAGGAAAUCACUCCUAUCUAGGGUGUUUCUCCAUUUUAUCUUUGAGGCAAAUCAACUUUUCAUAUGAGGAAGAUGAACUUUAAAUUAUUAGUUUAAAGUAAAACUUCCUUUCCAGGGUAGCAAUCUAUUCAGAGUGAAAUCAAAAGUUUUGUUGGAGUUGUUCUUUGAUAGCAUAGUUAUGACACCAUUACUAUUUCCUACAAAAUUUAGCAACUACUUCUUUUGCAUUAUGUUCCCUAACUCUAUAUUCAAAGAAGACAAUAAGCCCUAGGUUAUUUUGUCCAAGAUAAGCAAUAAACUCUUUUUGCUUAUAAGACUUUCCAAUUUUUAACACAUGCGUUAUAUGAGUUCAUUUUUGAGUACGUGUGUUGCACGGGCCUCUAAUGUUCCGAGUAAUUAAGCUUACAAUGAUAGUUGAGGUUGGUCAGUACCUCCAACGAGACCAUAAUGAUGGGACAUGUCGUUACAUUUAUGUUUCUUCUUGGAUGCCUUGUAACUCAAUUUUGUCUCCAAAAAUCUAUCUGUUGUCACAUAACUGAUUUUUCUUUAACUAAAAAAAAGGAUUUGUAGCCUCUUUCAAAGCUACAGAGCUAACAGAAUCCAAAAAGAGUUCUAAAUUAGUUGUCAGGGUCAGUUUGGACCAACUAAAAAGGCUAACUAGACAUCUGCCUCGCCAUAGAUCUCUAGAAAGUUAAAAUUCCAUCAAAAGAUCAUUUGUUCGUCUCUGUCAAUAAACACCAAAAUAUUGACAUCAAAAGAUAGCACUAGGGAUCAUUUAGUUCCCAGUCAUUUAGGUUUCUCCUGAACCUUUUGUCCUAAAUGUUAUCUGAUCUGUUGGAUGGUAUGGUAGAAUUUGAUUCAGUUGCAAUGAGGUGGAAAUCUUGAAAUUCCUCACCCAAAGUUGUGUCUCCCAACCAUAUGUCGUUCCAAAAUUUGAUGUGAGAUCCAUUGGCAACUCUAAAUGUGACGUUCCCAGCAAAAUCUGGCAAAGUUUACCGAUGCUUUUCCAUAGACCAACUCCAUAUGCAUCUGUUGAGACAUUGAUAGAAUGUAUGCCUUCACUUAACGAGUAAUGGACUAGGUCCCUUACUUUAUUUCAGAAAAUUACCAGAAAGUUAAAUGCAGUAAAAUCAACACAAUGAUUUUACGUGGAAACCUCCUUGCUUAAGGGAGUAAAACCACGACCUGUCUCACAGGAUUUUCAAUCGUUUUCACUAAUCUUCAAAAGCAAAAGCGAAACACGAUUACACCAAACGUAAGAAAGAGUUAUCAAUCUUACCGUUAAGCAAUAGACCUCUAUUGCUCAACAAGCCAAAGUAGAAAAACAAUCUACCCACUAAGCUAUCCCACCUGGACAACCUAGACUUUUAACAAAACACACCAAUUCCUUUAUAGAUUUAGGAGUGAUUUACAAUUUAAGAACAAGAGAAUAAAUUCCUAAACAAAUAGACGAAAAGCUCCAGAUGUUGCUUUUGUCCUAGGAAUGAUUCUGCCUUUGCUUUGUAUUAGCCUUUGCAAGAGUUCUUGAAAAGUGUUUAUCAAGUUGCAAAAACUAAGACACAAAUGUUUAGGAAAGUGCCUUUUAUAUGGGCAAGUCACUUUCCUAAACUUCUUUGCCAUUGGUUGGAAAGGUCACACUUUUCUGACGCCAUCGGGAAGUGUGCACCUACUUUCUGUACGUCUCCAGCUGGCAGUUGACUGGCUCAUCAUCAUGAGGGCCUGGUACCUCUACUAGGUCCCUGGGUUUGUUUCAUCUGCAAUACUUCAAAGAAGACACCUGCAAUACUCAAGUAGAAAACCCGGUACCUUUAUGAGGUCCCUAAGUUUGUCAAAUCAUCAAAACUACAAAUAACAUUUUCCCCCUUUUUGAUGAUGACAAACAAUGAUAUGAUCUGAAAUCUUCACCAGAAUCGUUCCCCCUGACUUUGUAUUCCCCCUUUCUGUAUAUUCCCCCUUAAUGUAUGUUCCCCUUAAUGUAUGUUCCCCCUUAUUUAGCUACUUACAGUUUACUUCCCCUAUUUGGCAUCAUAAAAAGGAUAUGAAGUAAACCAUUGAGUUAACAUAAAUAAUGAACAAGAUCAGAGCAAACAACAAUCAAACAGUAGAGGAAACACAUUCACAAAAGAACAUAGGAAGAACAACAAAGGAAUAAAGAAACUAACAUGCCAUUAUAACAUAAAUACAUUAAAAACAAACUAAAAAUCCAUUAACACGAUGAUUAGCCACAUAACAAAAGAGACACACGAAAGGAUUGAUUAACAGUUUAGGAAGAGGGGGGAGUUUUGGAUAGGGACUGGAUAACGAGAGUGAGUCGUGCAUUGGCAGCAUCAUUAUCCUUGAUGGCCUUUUCUUGCAAAGCAGUUAUCUUCGCCUUCAACUCAUUGUUCUCUUCCUCCAGAGCUUGUACAACUGAAGAACCAGGUCCCUCACUCUGUGCAGUAAGUAGCUCUGCUUUGAGUAUAGCAAUUUCAGCCUCUUUACUACUCAGCCGCACAGUGAGUUCUUCAGUCUCAUGUUUAAGCUGAUCCAUGUCCUCAAGAAGUUGAGCCAUCUUGCUUUUUGGUAAGCCUCUGCCUUCAAUACAUUCACAUUCAAACAAGGUAUGCUCAGAGAUAUUUUGUUUGACAGUCCCCACCUUUCCAACACUAAGAGGAAUCUGAAAGUGUUUGAAUACUUUAGUGAGAAAGUAUCCAUACCCCAUUCCAUGUACUGCUUUCCUCUAAAUAACUUUUUGUGAAUGUGUUCAAUCAUGAGACUAGGAAGGCACAGAGCUUCAAAGCUGCACAGCCUCUCCAUGACGUACAAGUCAGCAGCAGUAGCAAGUGUUCUCUUUUCAGUGCGAGGGAGAAUCACUUUGUUGACAAAUUCAAAGACCAGCUGAUAGUCACUCUUCAUAAUUUUCUUAUAGAUCCCAGCUACCUUGGUUGUGGGAGUCUUAGAAAUUAAAGAUGCAAAUUCUGAAGAGCAAGUGUUUCCCUGCACGGACCGGGUCCCCUCUGUAGGCACUCUGAGGAUUUUGCCCAACACCUCCUCAUUCAAAGAAAUAGCAACAUUGUUCACACGUGUGAGGAGACUCUCAUCUUCCAGAAAUUGAACAUUGUAAUAGAAUUCACGAACCUCUUCUUCAUGGAGGAUGGGAGAUUUCUUGCUGAACAGGAGCAGCCAAGACUGGAUCUCCACCAUGUCAUGCAGAGAGUACAUGCCCGGAAGAGUAAUAAUCCCCAUAUCAAACACUCUUCCAGCGAGAACUGCUUGUUUCCUCAGACUGUCAACUACUUCCUGCAAGUUGACAUUUUCAACCUUCCUGGCUUGAGGACCAGGUUCCUGUGUCCGCUUCCUCUUCCUUUCAGAUUUCUUCCCUUUUGACUGUGACUUUUUAACCUUCUUUGUAAUCCUUUCCCUUUUCUUUUCUGACUUCUUCUUGUUAUUUUUCUUUUCAACCUCUUCUCCAGACAACUCAACCAAUUUUUCUUUAGGUAUCUUUAAAUUUGAUACCUUGAAGGUUCGUGCACUUCUGACUGCAGCAGCAGAUCGUGCACUUGCCUUCAAGGCAUCCACCAUCAAUUUUUGUGCAGCAGACCUUAUAUUAGGUCGUCUCUUAGGAUUUUCCUCAACGACCUUUUCUUUCCCUUUUCGACUCUCCAUCUUCCAUUUUAAUGGUGCUUUCUCACUUGCAGAUUCAGAUGAAGAAGAAGAAGAAUACCGCCCUAAAUCAGGGGUUUUAUCGAAGAUGGGUUGAGAAGGCCUUACCUCUUCUCUUUCCAGGGCGUCAGUAUGUUCUGCUCUGGCCUCUUCUCUCAUCAUUGCCAGGCUCUCAAUCACAAGUUCCUCACUUGCUGCCAGAAUAUUUGACUCUGAAGCCCUGUGUUUUGGUACGUCUCCCUCAAACAUGUUGUCAGGCAACAUGUCUUCACAUGGACCGGGUACUGAAGAAGUGUUUAAAUCAAUGGAGAAGAAAGGGUUGUCCAGAGUAUUUUGUGGAGGAAUGGAUGGGGGAGGAAGACAGGCUUGAGCAGGUGAUGGAGAAUAAAAUGCAUCACUAAGUGCAUCCAGCAUUUGCUUAGAAGAAGACGAAGAAGAAGACAUGUUUGUGAUACUAGAAGGGGUCGUUGAAGGAACAAAAAGAAGAAGAAGACAGAUUUGCCUUUGAAUGUGAGAAUUUUAGUGAUAGAAGAGAGAGAUAAAGUUUAAGAGACGGAUGAGAGUUUCAAAAUAAAAGACCCCUUUUUAAAAGAAGUGAAAAGGUGUCAGGUCCUUGAUUAGAUGCGUCGUUUGAGGGAGAAACGAUUGUACUGAUCGGUCAGAGUAACCGAUGACUGACACCUGGCUUUUUCAACGGUCAAAUUUUUAGUUUAAAAUUAAUGUAAAAAUGCUAACCUGGACAGGUACCAGGUACCAUGAUAGAGUUUAACUUCAUUCCUUAAUUGUUCUAGCCUCUUCUUUUGCUGAGCAGGUCCCUAUUGAGAGUAUACCUACAAAAGAUACAAAAAGUGAUCUUGUUCAAAUAUUUAAGGUUCACACAAAGGAUACCUGCACUGCAAAUCUAACCAUCAAGGGAGUUCUACUGUGAGAGGCUAAAAGCAUCACUUGGAGAUCAACAUCCCUAAUUUUAAUCGAUUUCUCUCAAAUUGAUCCUUACUGAGAGCUUUGGUAAAGAUGUCUGCAAUCUGUUCCUCCGUUGGACAGUAUGUGAGUACAAUAUUUCCCUUCUCAACAUGAUCUCUCAAAAAAUGAUGUCUGACAUCAAUGUGCUUUGUUCUCUUAUGAUGAACUGGGUUCUUUCCCAUACUCACAGCACUAGUGUUGUCACACAUGAGAGGAAUUGCUUUGAUGUGGAUUCCAAAAUCUUCUAAGUGUUGCCUGAUCCACAACAAUUGAGAACAACAGGCUGCAGCAGCUACAUAUUCAACUUCAGCAGUUGAAAGAGCCACAGAGUUCUGCUUUUUGGUGCCCCAAGAGAUAAGUGAUGAUCCAAGGAAAUGAGCCAUUCCAGAGGUGCUCUUUCUGUCAACUUGAUAACCUGCAAAAUCAGCAUCUGCAAAACCAACCAGAUCAAAAGUAUCACCUGCAGGAUAAAAGAGAACCAGGUCCCCUGUUUUCUUCAAGUAUCUAAGAAUACGUUUUGCAGCCUUCAGAUGUGAAUCAACGAGGACAUGCUUGAAACCUGGCACACAUUCCAAUGCUAUACACAAUAUCAGGCCUGCUAGCAGUCAGAUACAGCAAGGAGCCAAUAAUUCCUCUGUACAUUGUCUGAUUCACAUGGGGAUCAGAUUCUUCUACUAUCAUCUUGGAAUUUGUUCCCAUAGGAGUGUCAAUAGGUUUGGAAUCAAACAUAUCGAAUUUCUUCAACAACUCUUUGAUGUACUUCUCCUGGCAUAUUGAAGUUCCAUUUGAUGAUUGCUUGAUUUGCAGCCCCAGAAAGAAUGUCAACUCACCCAUCAUACUCAUUUCAAACUCCCUUCCCAUUAAUGAUGAGAAUUCUUCACAGAGAUGUUCUGAAGUUGCUCCAAAAAUUAUGUCAUCCACAUAAACUUGAAUGAUAAGCAAUUCUUAUUCUCUUUUUAGUAAGAACAAAGUAUUGUCUAUCUUGCCUCUUUUGAAACCAUUCUUCAGCAGAAACUUUGACAAUCUUUCAUACCAAACUCUUGGAGCUUGUUUCAGACCAUAUAAUGCCUUAUUCAAUCUGAACACAUGAUUUGGUAGAUCUGCAUCUUCGAACCCAGGAGGUUGCUUGACAUACACCUCCUCUUUGAGAUCUCCAUUCAGAAAUGCACUCUUUACAUCCAUUUGAUACAGCUUGAUCCCUAUAAAAGCAGCAAAAGCUAUUAAGAUUCUGAUAGCUUCCAUUCUGGCAACAGGUGCAAAAGUCUCAUCAUAGUCAAUUCCUUCUUCUUGAUUGUAUCCUUGCACCACCAGCCUGGAUUUAUUUCUAGUAAUAGCUCCAUUUUCAUCAAGUUUGUUUCUGAAUACCCACCUGGUUCCUAUUAUUGUUCUGCCUUCAGGUCGAGGAACCAGGUACCAUACCUUACUUCUUUCAAACUGAUGAAGUUCUUCUUGCAUAGAAUUGAUCCAGUCUGCAUCACCUAAUGCUUCUUUAACAUUCUUAGGCUCAAUGGAUGAUAUGAAUGCUGAGAAUGCAACUAGAUUUCUUGUUUUUGAUCUAGUUUGAAUUCCAGAAUUCAAGGGAGAAAUGAGAUUAUCAAGAGGGUGUGAUGAACUAUGCUUCCAUCCUGACCUUGCAGUAGAAUGAUUUGGCAGAUCAUCAUGAUCUUCUUCAUCAGGAGUGACGUCAUAAUCUGGGGAGUCUGAUGUACUCUGGCUGGAGUUUUGAGUAGUACCAGGUACCCUAUCAUCCUGUUCAACCUCAGCAUCCUCUUCAUGUAGACUGUGAUUCUGAUCAUCACAAUCAUUUUUGAGUUGUUGAUCUGCAUCAGUUUCAGCACCUUCAAUCUUCUUGGAUUUUAGCAAUUUGAGCACAUCAUCAUCAUCAUUUGAUCCAUCAUUCUUCAAGCUUCCAUUUUCAUCAAAACAACAUGAAUGCUUUCUUCAAUGCAUUGUGUUCGUUUGUUGAAUAUUCUGUAGGCUUUGCUGGAUGAAGAAUAUCCAACAAAUACUCCUUCAUCACUUCUAGGAUCAAAUUUUCCCAGAUCAUCCUUCCCAUUAUUCAGCACAAAACAUCUGCAUCCAAAAGCUCUAAGACAGUUCAGCAUUGGCUUCCUGUUGUUGAGCAGUUCGUAUGGAGUCUUGUUCAACACAGCUCUUAUUAGACACCUGUUGGUAACAUGACAUGCUGUGUUAACAGCUUCAGCCCAGAAACUUUGAGGAAGAUUUGAUUCAAUAAUCAUAGUUCUAGCAAUGUUCACCAAGGUUCUGUUCUUUCUCUCCACCACUCCAUUUUGUUGAGGAGUUCUUGGAGCAGAGAAGUUGUGGCUUGUACCAUUUUCCAUAUAGAAUCUAUCCAAUGUUGAGUUUUCAAACUCUGUGCCAUGAUUAGAUCUAAUGCUGCAAACAACUUGAUUCAAUUUGGUUUGAAUCAUUUUGAAGAAUACCACCAGUUCAUCAGCUGUCUCUGCCUUUGAUCUCAAAAAUCUCGUCCAGGUGUAUCUUGAAUAGUCACCAACAAUCACCAAGAUGUACUUCAUUCCAUUUUUGCUUUGAACCUUCAAGGGUCCACAGAGGUCCAUGUGAAGCAGCUCUAAGGUUCUUGAUGAUGUAACCUGAUUCUUGGGCUUGAAUGAUGAUCUGAUUUACUUUCCUUUAACACAAGCUUUACAUAUUUUAUUUUUAGCAAACUUCAUUUUGGGCAACCCUCGGACCAGGUCCUUUGAAAUCAACUUAUUCAAUAAAGAUGAACUCACAUGUCCCAGCCUACGAUGCCAGAGAUCAGCAUUUUCAUUUUGAGCACAGAGAUAUGUUAAGUCAUCUCCAUGAGAGAUUUCCAAGUUUGCCACAUACAUAUUUUUACUUCUGUGUGCAGUGAGAAUUACCUUGUUUGUAGUUAAACUCACCACAGUGCAUUUUUCAGAAUUAAAUUUGACCUCAUUUCCUUUGUCACAGAUUUGUGACACACUUAGCAAGUUGUACUUCAACCCAUCCACAUGGUAAACAUUGUCAAUUGAAUCUUCAAGAGAUCUUCCUACUUUGCCAACUCCCAAAAUGUACCCCUUCUUGCCAUCACCAAAUGAGACACCUCCACCUUGGAGGGUCUUGAGUGAGAGGAAGUUCUUUACAUCACCAGUCAUAUGUUUAGAGCAGCCACUAUCCAUAUACCAACAUUGACUACUGCCCCUCUCACUCACCUGCACCAAAAAUCACUUGUUAAGCUUGGGAACCCAUUUCAGCUUGAGUUCCCAGUAGGCAGACAAAGGAGUGAUCAGAUUGUACUUGGCCCAAUAUGGUAGACUUUGAAUCUUUCUAACAAAGGACCUAGGAGCAGGAACUGAUUUUUUCUUUGAAAAUCUGUGAGUUGAGACAGGUUCUUUAGGACCAGGUUUCUCAUUUGGUACAUUCUGUCUUUCAGCAUAAUUAGAGUAUCUUUCACAUGAGUUUUUCCAGCUAACACACUCAUUCUUCAAAUGUCCAUUCUUACCACAAUGCAGACACAACAGAUUGUCAGACACAAACACAUACUUACUGUGAGGAUUAUAAGGAGGACUUAUGUUUAGACUUCCUAGUCCUUUCUUAUUGAAAUUACUCUGAUUUGUCACAUUUGACAGCAGUUUUGAGGAUUUGGUCCACUUAAGAGAUUUUUCAAGUUCCUCCUUAAGUUUCACAACAUCCUGUUCUAAUUUGUUAUUCUUUUCAAGUGACAAUCUGAGAUUUGUCUCGGAGUUUUUCAAUUUUUCUUGAAUUUCAGCUUGCGAACUGUUUGGCUUUCCAUUCAGCUUUUCAGCUUCUUCAGUAAACUGACACAACUGAUGCUUAAGUUCAGAAUUAUUUAACUCUAGAGACACCAUUCUUGCCAUUGUCUCUUCAAAUUGAACUUUGUUUUCAGUUAAAAUUUCAAGUUCAGCAUUCAUUGCAUCUCUUUCAGAUGUUAAAUCUAUCACAGAAUCUAGCAUGACUUUUGCCAGGGUUCUUAAUUUCUUAAGAGAAUAUUUAUCCAAGUCAAUUUUCAUGUCAAGAAGAUUUACCUGAUUGUCCUCUUCUUCAUUUUCUGUGUGUGCCAUGAGAGCAAACAUUUCAUUGAAGACAAUUUCCUCCUCAUGCACAGCAACCAUAGACACAUCUUUUGGCUCAUCAGGAUCUUCUGAAUCACUUGAAGAAUCCCCCCAUGCAGCAAGAGCUCUUUUGAUAACCAUAUCAGCAGCAACUUUACGAUCUCUGUUUCUAAGUACCAGGUCCCUUCUAUUUUCUUUGUCACCCCUGUGUUUUUGAUGUUCCUUGUUUUCAGUCGUGAGCAAAGGACACUCUCUGAUGAAGUGUCCAGAUUUUCCACACUUGUAGCAAGUAUCUGCUUGAGCAGCAUUUCGAGUCCCAUUUGUUCCUCUUUUAUACAUUUUGUUCUUUCUCACAAUCUUUUGAAAUCUACUGAUGAGAUAUGCCAUAUCAUCAUCAUCACUUGAAUCUUCAUCUGAUUUAUACUUCAACAUCCAUGAUUUGUCCUUCUUGAUUUCCCUUUUUGACAAAUCAUAGUUUCGAUUCAUCUCAUGUGUUUUAAGAUUGCCAAUCAAGGCAUCCAUGGUCAGCACCUUCAAGUCUUUAGCUUUAGUAAUGGCAUCAACUUUGCUCUCCCAAGACUUUGGAAGAAUUCGAAGCACUUUCCUGACUUGUUUGGUCAUGCUUAUAGGUUCACCCAAACUUCGCAGCUCAUUUGUAAUAGAAGAAAACUUGGUGAACAUGUCAUGUAUAGUUUCUCCUUCCUUCAUUUUGAAGUUCUCAUAUCGUGAGGUGAUCAUGUCAAUCUUGGAUUCUUUGACUUGUUCAGUUCCUUCAUGUGCAGUCAACAAGCAAUCCCAAAUUUCUUUAGCAGACUCACAGGCUGACACUCUGUUGUACUCAUCAUGUCCUAUCCCACAGACCAGAAGUGUUUUAGCUUUGAAACCCUUUUCAAUCUUUUUCCUGUCAGCAUCAUCAUAUUUCUGCCUGGGCUUUGGAACAGUAAUGGUCCUUUCUCCAUCCUUUACUUCCAUCAUUGGAACAAAGGGUCCAUCUAGUAUAAUAUCCCAUAACUCGCUAGCUUCAGCCAUGAGAUAGUCGUGCGUUCUAACUUUCCACCAACUGUAGAAGUGUCCAUUGAAACGAGGAGGUCUGUGUGAUGACUGACAUUCUUCGAGGUUAAGUGGAGCUGCCAUUCUUAGAACAAAAUCACUUCCUUGGUGUUAACCAAAUAGGUAGUGCCUGCUCUGAUACCACUUGAUAGAAUGUAUGCCUUCACUUAACGAGUAAUGGACCAGGUCCCUUACUUUACUUCAGAAAAUUACCAGAAAGUUAAAUGCAGUAAAAUCAACACAAUGAUUUUACGUGGAAACCUCCUUGCUUAAGGGAGUAAAACCACGACCUAUCUUACAGGAUUUUCAAUCGUUUUCACUAAUCUUCAAAAGCAAAAGCGAAACACGAUUACACCAAACAUAAGAAAGAGUUAUCAAUCUUACCGUUAAGCAAUAAACCUCUAUUGCUCAACAAGCCAAAGUAGAAAAACAAUCUACCCACUAAGCUAUCCCACCUGGACAACCUAGACUUUUAACACAACUCACCAAUUCCUUUAUAGAUUUAGGAGUGGUUUACAAUUUAAGAACAAGAGAAUAAAUUCAUAAACAACUAGACGAAAAGCUCCAGAUGUUGCUGUUGUCCUAGGAAUGAUUCUGCCUUUGAUUUGUAUUAGCCUUUGCAAGAGUUCAUGAAAAGUGUUUAUCAAGUUGCAAAAACUAAGACACAAAUGUUUAGGAAAGUGCCUUUUAUAUGGGCAAGUCACUUUCCUAAACAUCUUUGCCAUUGGUUGGAAAGAUCACACUUUUCUGACGCCAUCGGGAAGUGUGCACCUACUUGUACGUCUCCAGCUGGCAGUUGACUGGCUCAUCAUCAUGAGGGCCUGGUACCUCUACUAGGUCCCUGGGUUUGUUUCAUCUGCAAUACUUCAAAGAAGACACCUGCAAUACUCAAGUAGAAAACCCGGUACCUUUAUGAGGUCCCUAAGUUUGUCAAAUCAUCAAAACUACAAAUAACAGACAUUUAUGGACCAGUGAGUAAGAUCACCAUGUUUAUCUUUGAUCACCUCUUUCCACUAUCCAAUGUCUUCAGUUCCGUACCUCCAUAAUCAUUUCAUCAUCAUGUUUUUAUUUGUAAGCUGCAAGAUCUUUAAUACCCAAACCUCCUUGAGAUCUUGGUUGUGUCACUUUUGCCCAUUUAACCUAGUGAAGCUUAUGAUCCUUGCGGUUUCCUUCGCAUAGAAAAUUUCUUCUCAUGCUAUCGAGCUUUUCGAGAACUUUUGCUGGAAUAGGUAAAAAGGGACAUAUUAUAUGUAGGGAUGCUAUCCAUUACACUAUUAAUCAAUAUAACUCUUCCUCCAAAAGAAAGAUAUUGCAUUUUCCAUGUUGCUAGUAUUUUUUCAAAUUUCUCAACUAUUCCCAAUCAUAUAUCAUUAGACUUUAAAUUCGCACCUAAAGUCAACCUAAGAUAAGUUGUUGCAACACAUGAUUCCGGUUAGCUCUCCCAAGUUUACUGGAUAGACAGUGCUUUGUGACAUAUUUGUGUAUAGUCCAGCAACAACUUCAAAGAUGUGCAAAAUCAAGUUUAGCUUAAUAACUAAUGAUCUAUCUACCUGACAAAAUAGCAGAGUAUCAUCCGCAUACAAAUUGUGACAUUGUUUCCCGUGAGACUGCCUACUUUGGAGCCUUCAAUCCAUUGUAGUUGCAUGCUUUUUGGGGCAUCUUACUCAGGCCUUCCAUAGCAAGGAUGAAACGAAGGGAAAGAUAACUGAUCUAGAUUUAGAAUGAAUUGUCACACAAACUUUUAGGAAAAACACUCUAGAUAGAAGCGCUUUCUCUUGUAAGAAAGUAUUUCAAACAAACUAAAAAUUUAAAGUUCCUCUUUAUACUAUAAAGAUGGUGAUAUUGUAAUCGAACAAGAAUGAAUCAUAGUCGGUCAUAAAAGAGGUAACUGAAAAAAUCUGACUUAACCUAAAUAUAAAUUGGUUGAAAAAUAAGUAAUGAAUAUCAAAUUAUUAUAUCAAAUAGUAAGAAUAUAUAUACUAAUAUGUUCAAAUAUGAUUUUACCAUUUUCUUGUAUUGCUAGCAUAGACCUUUUGUUUUAUGAACUUGAUCAAAAUGAUGAAAUAUUGGUGCAGCAUGAGGAAAUAUUUUGUCACAUACUCGACAUGCAAUUGAAUUAGUAUAAAAUACCAUUAUGUUUCUCUUAACUAUGUUGAAUUGAUAUAUGAUUUAACUUAAUUAAGAGAAAAAUAACGUAAACUUAUACUAAUAUAAUUGCAUGCCAAGUAAGUGACAAAAUAUUUCUUUACGCUUUACCACUACUCUAUCAUUUUGAUGAAGUUUAUGGAAGAAAAUGUUAUUUGCUGACAAUAGUACGAAAAUGCCAAAAAUAAUGCAUGAAUAUGUUAGUUUAUAUAGUAUGAUUAUUUGAUAUUCAUUAUUUAUUCGUCGACAAAUUUAUAUUUGGGUUAAGUCAAUUUUUUUGUUAACUCUUUAGGAUCGACUAUGGUUCAUUUUUGUUCGAUCAGAAAAUCACAAUCUUAAUAAGAAUUUUGAAUUUUUAGUUUGUUCAAAACUUACAAGGGAAAACGAUUCAAUCUAGGAUAUUUCUCCAUUCGAUUUUUAGAUGGUGAUUCAUUCUAAAUCGAUGCAAAUUGUAUUUUUUGGACCCCCAAGAAAUAGACUAUAGUAGCCCGAUCGAGUGCUGAAGCUGAGUAUAAAGCACUAGCCUUCAUUACCGUAGAAAUGACGUGGAUUUUGUAUCUUCUUCAUGACCUUGGAAUGUUCCUUCGAUCUAUUCCUACGUUGUAUUGUUAUUAUAACAUGAGUGCCUUGGACAUGACGAUUAUUCUAGUUAUGCAUGCUAGAUACAAACAUUUAUUAACGGCCUAUCAUUUUUUCAUGAGAAAAUGGCCAUGAGACAACUUCUUACUCAGUUUGUGAAGUUUAAGGUCAACUAGUUGAUAUUCAUACCAAAGUCUUAACAAAGUAGGUUUUCUUUGAUUUCGCAGCAAGUUAGGAGCCACAGUUCCUCCAAUCAUUAGCUAGAGGGGAAGUGUUGUAGGAAACUUGAAGUUCCUCCAAUCAUUAGCUAGAGGGAAAGUGUUGUAGGAAACUUGAAGACUGAUGGAACAUGUCGAAGGAAUAGUAGACCGAUGAGCAUGUUAAAGGGGCAGAUUCAUUGAAGCAGGCUAACAAGUUAGAGUUGGAGUCAUACUAGGACUAGACUACUAAAUCCUAAGUUAUGUACGACUAAGCUACUGUAUAUUGUAGGAGUCAACAAGGAUAAGGUAUUUGAGUUAUAAUACAAUACUACUCAUGUAAAAAAUUGUGUUGUAGUAGGAUUCAUAGUAUAACUAGAAUAUGACUCUUCUCCUAUAUGAGGAGCUUGUGACUCAACAUUAUUUUCAUCAAUGCAUCCUCGAUUUCUCCAUAGUUACUAGAGAUUUCUACAAUAAUAUAUCUAUAGCUAUAAAAUUUAAGCUAUGAAUUAAAAAAUCACAGCUAUUACGUAUUAAUAGACACGAAAUUUUGAACACCAUAUCUAUCUAUAAAUUAAUUAAUUUCUUAGCCACAAAUAUCAAAUUGCUGAAGCUAAUUUAUUAUUUUUGCUAUGAUUAUUAAUAAUUGUGGCAGUAAUUGUCUAAGGUAGCUAUAACUUUAUUACUUUGAUAAAAUUUUAUAGUUGAUCAUAUUUUUUUGCUAUGCGAUAAAUAUUAUUGUGGCAAUAUUAACCUUUUAGCCACAAUAAAUUAUUUGAAACAAAAUAUUGUAGCUAUAUAAAAUAUUUUGCUUCAAUUUUUUGACGACCAAUUUAGACUGACCUUUUAGCAUUUUUAGGAUUGCUAUUCGAUUAAAUACAUAUUUUUAAAACUUAUUUUAAAUUUAUAAUUUUAGUCGACUUUGCAUGAAAAUUAUAUAAUUAAGUAUGUUUACUUUAUAAAAUUAUUGUAAAUAUUAUUAAAAUAUUUUAAAAUUAUUAAUAAAUUUCAAAAUAAUUACUUCAUUCAAAUGUUUUAAAAUUUAAGUAAUUUUCAAUUAUAUAAAAACUAGGAAAUUUAUCCGCGCUUCGCGCGGGCAUAAGUUAUAUUUCUAGCCUUUUUAAUAAUAGCUUUUAUAAAGAAGUAAAAGUAAAUUGUUAUAGGUUCUUAGAACAUCUCUACAGAAACUAAAUGACUUGACAUUAUCACAUAACUCAAGAAUUGUAAAUAGAUAAUUAAUGAUUAAAGAUAUUUGAUAAUCUAAUUAUUUUUAUCUUUUACAUAACUUAUCAAUUAUAUGUUUGAUGAUAUAAUUGUCUUGUUAAAAUUGAGUGAUGUUUUUAUGUAGCGAUUAAACAUCACUUUUUCUAUUUAUUUUUUUGUACAUGAAAAAUAUAGAAUCUUAUAAUUUUAUGGUUAGAAUAACUCCGUGUGAGAAUAUAUUUAUGUGAAAAUUUUCUAUAAUCAAUAUUACUUAUAUAUAAGUUGAAAUCGUUUAAAAAUGUAUAAUGCAACAACAUAAAUAAUUUUUUAAGAGACAUUCUACUUGUCUGAGGUCAAAUGUUCACCACUUCGUUAUCAUUAAUUUAAUAAUCUAACGAAAACUUAUAGAAGGAGAAAUAAAUUUUGAACAACAACAAAAUUAUAUGUUUGACCCUUAUAUAAAUUCAUGUUUCACUAAACUGCGGAAGACCCUUCCGGAUUCUUUAUAAAUGAAACUUUAUGACAUAUUCAUGCAUUCUUACGUAUGCUUGUUGGAUUAUGAAAGUACAAAUAGAUCAAAAUGUUGGAUUUUAGAUUCAUGUUAAAGAAAUAUUCUCGAAAAUUAAAAAAAUUAAAAAUGAGUCUGACCUUGAUAUCAAACGCGCAACAAUGACUUGAGACAUGAAGGACAAUAAAUCUAUAUUAAUAGACAUAUCUUUUGUAGAUUAAGAUAUUAGUUUUAUUUAGAGUAGAUUUUGUUUCAUAUUCUUCAAAUUAAUCCUGACGAAAAUAAUCGUAACAUACAACAAAAUUUUCCGAUUGAAAAGGAAAAAUAAGUAAAACAUUAAGAGGACUAAAAUCGUUAUCAUAGUCAGAUUAUAUACAUACAAAAAAAUCAAUAUAAUUAUAAGUAAACAACAUAAUAGCGAGAAAAACUUACAUUAAAGGGAGUAAACUAGAGGAUAUUCAUUGAUGAUAACAAAUCAUUCUAGCCAGAAAAGUUCUUAUCUUUUGAAAUAACAGACCUCAAAAAUAACAUUUCAAUCAACUUUCAAUUGUUAGAGUAAUCAUAAUAUCCAGUGAUAAAAUUAAGUAAAAUACAUAACAACAUAAAAUAAAAAAAUAUGUACAUGCAAAGUUAUUAACUCUCAGAGGAUUUUCUUAAGAACAUAAAAUCACAUCCUUGUAUGUGAAGGAAUAACGUUGUUGAUGAUGAAAUUUGAGAUUUGAUAUUUGUUAAGGCUUUUUUAAUAUACAUCCAACAAUUUCAGUAGAGAAAACUUGCUUGAAUAUUCAAUUGACAUUUGUUAUUUAAUCUGUACUAACAAAUACUUGUAACAAUAACUUUACAUAAACAUAAAUAGCAAAGUUUAAAACAUAUACUCAAAAACAGCAAUCAACAAAAUAAGCAUAAAUUAAUGAUUGUAAAAAAUAUACCAGGAUAUGCAACAUUGAAAUGAAACUAAAUGAUACAAAUCGAUCCCAUUGAAUGCACAUUGAAAUUCUCUAUUUAUAGACAACAAAUGAUACUUGUAAAAAAUGAUUAAUGUGUCUUAUCGGAAAGGACACAAUUCUUUGAAAAAGUUACAACCUUUCAAAAAGGGAACAACAUUAUGUAAAAGUCGCGACUCUUCAUAAAAGUCGUAACUUUUCAUAAAAUUCGCAGCUUUUCCUGAAAAAAGUUACAACAUGUCAUAAAUUUAGAACAUAUCAUGAAAGUCACAACUUUUUAUAAAAGAGAAAGAGUAGUUUUUGAAAUAAAUUAAAUUAUAAAGAAUCUUUGCUUGUGGUGUCGCCACAUAGGCAGUCCUAAAGUUCUCUUUUAUAGAAAUAUAUGAUAUUCUAAUAUAUGUUGUAUUUCAAUUAAAUAACAAUUCAAUUUUCCUGAAAAUUAUUUAAAAAUUAGUCUAUUUUAUUCAAAUUAACUUAAAUUCUAGUCACUCCAAUUUAUUCGAAUCCUAACUUUCAUCUCUUAUUAAAUCAAUGGUUGAGAUUAAAUUCUUCUUUUCCCUAUUUAUAAACUCUCAAAAAAUCUAAACCUAAACCCUCGUAUUCUUCUUCUUUCCUCCCUGCCUUCCCCUUCGCUCUCGUCUUCCUCUUCUCCUCUCCAGCGAGAGAGGGCAGCAAAACUCCGGCGAGAUGCGCCAGGCGGCAGCGCCCCUUCCCCCUUUUCUCCUUCCCUCUCAGAUCUCUCCUCCCUCCUCUUCUCCUUGUUCUUUUUUUUCUCUCUCUUUGCAGUGCCACCAGGAAGCAGUCUCCGGCGAAGAACAGCGACCGGCAGCAGCAAGCCAACGCCAGCAACAACAACCAGACGCUGCCUCAUCUCAAUCUCAAGUGAGCAUCUGCGAAAGCCAGCUCCGACUAGCACCAAUUCGACUCUUCUCCUCUUUUCCAACGAGGACGAACAACAUACACCGGCAAGCAUUUCGAGGUUUUGAGACAGAUCUUUAGCAGAUCCGUCCAAGUAAGUUUCUUUUAUUAAUUUCAACUUUUUUUUUUUAAUAUUUAUGGAUUUUAAGAUAUUGUGAGUUAUUUUGGUUGCUCCAUCUUGUUGAUUCUUAGAAAACUAGUCUAGGCUUUUAUUUCUCCAUUGUUGCUUGUUUGUUCUUGUGGUGAUCUCUUUUCAAAUGAAGAGCACAAAAUCAGUAGAGAUAUUUACCAAAAUAAUAAGGAUUUUUCCAAAAAAAUAAACAAGUAAGAAUAUGUUAAUCUUCAAUUAAGCAAAAGAAGACAAAUAAGAAUAAUCAACCUAAGAAAAAAAUGAACAAAGCAGACAUGGAUAGUUUAUUUCCUUAACACGAGAGAACCAAAUAUGAUGCUUUGAUCUAUCAUCAAACUCUGAGAUAUACCUAUGCAUAUCUCAAAGGCUAACACUUGCGUAUAGUUCUUCUUGGACACCAUAGCUUGUCUUUCACUUUCAUCUUCCAUCCCCACAAUGUUUUAGUUGGAUUGAUGUCCUUGAGCCGAAGGUUUUUCAUAAACAACCUCUUUAUCUCCAUUAUAUAAUGGUAAGAUUUGCAUACUCUCCACAUUCUUCAUACUCUAACUAAGUGGAUUUCACUAGGUAUGUUGUUGAUGAUGAUUAUAUUUUCACGAGGGAAAAGAUGGAAAAGCUCCUUCUAGUGUUGAUAGUUUUAUAUGAACAAAUUUUCAGGUGGAAAGCUCUAAUCUUAAAAAUUGAAUUACCAUCUUGUCCCUCUACUAAAUUAAGAAUUUAAUUAAAUAAUAGUAUUUUAAUUAUCUAAAGAUUGAAUUAUAUAAGAUCAUUAAAAAUACAUCCAUAAAUACCUUCCUCACAUUAAAAAAAUGCAAUUGACUUAAAUGAACAAUUGUCAUCCAAAAAUAGAAAGGAGAAACACCCUAGAUAGGAGCGCUUUCUCUCGUAAGGAAGUUUUCAAACCAAGUAAAAAUUCAAAUUUCAUCUUUCUUGUAUAAAGAUUAUGAUUUUUUGAACGAACAAGAAUGAAUCAUAGUUUGGUCCUAAAGGAGGUAACAAAAAGAACCCGACCUAACAAAAUAUAAUUGAAUUGGUUGGAAAAUAAAUAAUGAAUAUUAAAUAGAAAUUUUAUAAAAACUAAUAUGUUCAUGUGUAAUUUUAUCAUUCCCUUGUAUUGCUAGCACAUAACCUUCUCUUUCGUGAACUUCAUCAAAAUAAUAGAGUAGUGUCAACAUGAGGAAAUAAUUUGUUACACACUCGAUGCAAUUAAAUUAGUAAAAUCAUCCUUAUGUUUCUCUUAACUAAACUGAAUUAAUAUAUGAUUCAGCUUACUUCAGAGAAAAAAUAAUAUAUACUAAUACUAAUUUAAUUACAUGUCAAGUGUGUGGAAAAAUAUCUCUUUAUGUAGUACAACACAAUACUUUAUCAUUUUGAUCAAGUUUACUAAGACAAUGUUAUAUGUUAACAAUACAACGAAAUGUUUUAAAAUCAUGAAUGAAUAUGUUAGUUUAUAUAGUAUUAUUAUUUGAUAUUCAUUAUUAUUCGCUGACAAAUUUAAAUUUGCGUUAAGUCAACUUGAUUUUGUUACCCCUUUAGGACCUUCUAUAAUUCGUUUUAGUUCAAUCAGAAAAUCACCAUAUUAAUAAGAGGACCUUUGAAUUUAUAGUUUGUUUAAAAACUUUUUUUCAAGGGAAAGCGCUCCUAUACAGGUGUUUCUCCCUUCUAAUUUUGGAUGGCAAUUCAUUCUAAAUUAAGGCAAAUCAACUUUUUUUUUAUAUGAGGAAGACGAACUUUGAUACAUUAGUUUGAGUAAAACUUCCUUAACAGGAUAACGAUCUAACCAAAGUGAAAUAAAAAGUUAUGUAGGAGUUGUUCGCUGGUAGCAUAGUUAUGAUGGUCAGCUACCCCCAAGAUGCGUACCCGACCAAAGAUCACAAGUGAUCCCAAGAUAACUUUGUUGGCAUACAUCAACAUACUAUGAUAACUUAAAUGAAAUAAUACUGAGUGUAAGCUUUAUGAAAAAUGAAAUUGAUUGGGAAUACCCAUUUUAAAACUGAAUAUAUAAGAAAACUAAGAGUUUUAACACAACUUAAAGUCAAGCUCAAAUAAAAUAAAGCUAAAUCUAGUUAUGUCUGAAAUAAGACUAACUGACUAGAAAUGCUAGGACAUGCCUCAGCUAGACUGAAACUAAAAAUUAAAAACGAAGGGAAAUAAUAAUGUCACGUGUCCUCGAAGGAUGAGGACUCACCACUGUAACUGUUGAACUGAAGAUCGGGAACCGUUCUAAACGUGAUCUGGAAGCUUAAAAUGUGAACCUACAUCACUAGAAGAUGUAGCGCAGAGUAUGUGUUAAUACUUAAAAUGUCAAGCACAUCGAUAUGUGGUGCUCACUUGUCCACAAGUCAUGCCAUUCGUUGAGUAAGUAUUUAUGGCAAAUCAAUUUACAUUAUUCUAUAUGAUCUUACAUUGUUUUUGGUCUAUAGUUUAGAUUUAUGUAUAUUUUUUAGUUUGGACUCAUUGUAGUUUUUAAGUUGUUAUAAACUUGCUCAUAUAAUUUUACACUUUUGGGAACUGAGUUGCCGACAUAGAAAAUAUGGUCGAGUAUCAACAAAGGUAUCCUCAUAAUUUUGUAGUGAUUUAAUGUAUUUCAUAUAUCAGUGUUUCUUGAUUCAUUUAUGUUUUAGUUUCUGAAUAUUUGUGGAUGAGUUCAUGAGUAACGAGUCAUUGUGGACGGAAUUCUCUCAUUAAGAGUAUUACUAUGGGAGUGCCUAUAGCUUCUUGGCUUACGCACUCUGAUCAAUCAAUGACUGUUUUCUUGGUAACAAACAUGUCAAAAGUAGGCUUGAUUGUGAGGAAGUUGGAGAAACACGAGGAGAUGGUGAAUGCAUCCACUAUGCGAAAUGUAUUGUUUAUGCUAAAUUUGGUGAAGUAGGAAGAGAGUUGCAGGUUCCUAGUCUCUACGAGCAAUACUCGUUCUUGGGUUGAUAGUAUGUUUAACUAAUAAGUAAUUGGCUAUAUAUGUGCAAAUUUACAACCUAUUUGAUAUGUGUGCAUAGAUGCCGAAGCAAAACCAGUUUACAAAUGAUGUGCUUUGAUAGGUAUAUUGUCAAAUGGCAAAGUGAAAAGCUGUUGAUUGCAGAAUGUGGACUGAGACUCAUAGGAGAAAAGAUGGAAGUUAUGUAACUGAGGAAGCUAAGGGGAUGGGGUAAGUAUUCUUUCUGUAGGCAAUUACUCGAGUAGAUGAUUAUAGUAGUGCAUAAUUUGGGAUUAGGAUAGUGCAGUUGUAGGUAGCUUAGUAUUGUUGUACAUUUAUGUGGGAGAGGCAGAGAUUAGUCUCUUCUGUUUGUCGCCUUUGUAUCCGGUAUUAAUAUUUAGUGUUUACCGGGUACCUUAUUAACAGUCAUAGAAUCCAUUGGUACAUCAAAAGAUGGAACAAUAGUAUAAACUAUGAUACAUUCUUGAUUGAAUGAGAAUGGAUCUUUUAAGGAUCAACUACGAUUCAUACUUGUUCGAUUAAAAAUUUACAUAUUGCAAGGAGGGAGAGGAACUUUGAAUUUUUCAUUUGUUUGAAAACUUCCUUACAAGAGAAAAUACUCUUAUCUAGGGUGUUUCUUGCUUCUAAGUUUUUGUGGCAACUCAUUCUAAAUUGAAGCAAAUUACCUUUUCUUUUAAUAUGAGGAAGGUGUAGUUUCCAAAAGCUUAUAAAUACAUUUCCUCAUAUAGAAAAUGUAAUUUACCUCGAUUUAGAAUGAAUUGUCACCCAUGAAUAGAAGCGAGAAACACCCUAGAUUGGAACGUUUUCUCUUGUAAGGUAGUAUUUCAGACAAACUAAAAAAUUCAAAGUUCCUUCCCCUCCGAUCAAGGGGUGAUUUUUUGAUUGAACGAGAAUGGAUUAUAGCCGGUUCUAAAAGACGUAACAAAAAAAUCGACUUACCAAAAAUAUAAAUUAGUUUACAAACAAAUAAUGAAUAUCAAAUCAUUAUAUCAAAUAGUAAUAAUAUAUAAUUUAAUAUGUUCAUGUGUGCUUUUACCAUUUUGUUGUAUUGGUGGUAUAUAACUUUUUAUUCGAUGAACUUGAUCAAAAUGAUAGAGUAGUAGCACAACAUGACGAAAUAUAUUGCCACACACUCGACAUGCAAUUAAAUUAGUAUAAGCCACUGUUAUAUUUCUCUUACCUAAGUUGAAUCAUAUAUUAUUUAAAGUGAGAAGCUCCUAUCUUCACAUUUGGAUUGUCAUUUUCCCUCCACUUAAUCAAAAACAUAACACAUUACUAUUUAGUUUGAUAUUUAAUCAAAUUUUGAUUUAGUGAAGUGACGAAAUGUUAAUCUAAUUAUAAAGAUAGGAGUUACCCACUUUAUAUAUUAUAUGAUUCAGCUUAAUUAAAAGAAACAUAACAGUGACAUAUACUAAAUUAAAUGCAUGUCGAGUAUGUGAAGAAAGGUUUUCUCAUGUUGUGCCAUUACUUUAUCAUUUUGAUCAAGUUAAUGGAAGAGAACAUUCUAUGCUAGCAAUACAACGAAAUGGUAAAAUUGUACAUGAAUAUAUUAGUUUAUAUAUUAUUAUUAUUUGAUAUUAUAGUUUGAUAUUCAUUUUUUAUUUGUUAGCCAAUUUAUAUUUAGGCCAAGUCGAUUUUGCUACACCUCUUUUAAGGAUCAACUAUGAUUCAUUCUUGUUCGACUAAAACAAUUAAAUUUUGAAAGGAGGGAGAGGAACUUUGAAGUUUUCAUUUGUUUGAAAACUUCCUUACAAGAGAAAACACUCUUAUCUAGGGUGUUUCUUGAUUCUAAUUUUUAUGGUAAUUCAUUUUAAAUCGAGGAAAAUUAUUUUUUUAGGGAAAAUGCAUAAGUACCCUCCAACCUAUACCCGAAAUCUCAAAGACACACUUAUACUAUACUAAGGUCCUAUUACCUCCCCCCCCCCCCCGAACUUAUUUUAUACAAAAUUUUCUAUCCCUUUUCGCCUAACGUGACACUAUCUUUUAGGCCAAAUGAUGUUGACAUUUUAUUCAAACUAGUGCCACGUAAGCCGAAAAGGGAUAGAAAAUUAUAUAUAAAUAAGUUCAUAGGGGUGAUAAGACCUUAAUAUAGUAUACGUGGGUCUUUUGGAUUUCGGGCAAAAACUGGGGGGGGGGGGGUACUGAUGCAUUUUCUCUUUUUUUAUGCGAGGAAGGUGUAAUUUCCAAAAGCUUAUAAAUAGAUCUUCCUCAUAUAGAAAAGGUAAUUUACCUCGAUUUAGAAUGAAUUGUCACCCAAAAUUAGAAGCGAGAAGCACCCUAGAUAGGAGUGUUUUCUCUUGGAAGGAUGUUUUCAAACAAAUUAAAAAAUCAAAGUUCUUCUUCCUCUUAUCAAGAUGAUGAUUUUAUGAUCGAACAAGAUAAAUCAUAGUCAGUUCUAAAGAGGUAAGAAAAAAAAAGAACUUUAAACAAAUAUAAAUUGGUUGGUAAAUAAAUAAUGAAUAUCAAAUUAUUGUGUCAAAAAAAAAUAUAUAAACUAAUAUGUUCAUGUGUAAUUUUACCAUUUCCUUGUAUUGCUAGCAUAUAACAUUUUUUCCAUGAAUUUGAUCAAAAUGAUAGAAUAUCGGCACAAUAUGCGGAUAUGUUUUGCCACACACUCGAUAUACAAUUAAAUUAUUAUAAGUCACCAUUAUGUUUCUUUUAAUAAACUAAGUUGAAUCAUAUAUUAUUUAUAGUGGAAAACUCAUACCUUUAAAGUUGAAUUACCAUAUUCUCCCUUCACUAAAUCAAAACUUAAUAUGAUAUUUAAUUAAACUUUGAUUGUUUGGAAGGGAAAAGUGGUAAUCCAACUGUGAAGAUAGGAGCUUCCAACUUUAAUUAAUAUAUGAUUCAGUUUGGUUAAGAAAAACAUAACGGUGACUUAUACGAAUUUAAUUGCAUGUCGAGUCUGUGGAAAAUAUUUCUUUUCGCUUUAUCAUCACUCUAUCUUUUUUAUCAAGUUCAUGUAAGAAGAUGUUAUAUGCUAGCAAUACAAUGAAAUGGUAAAAUCAUACAUGAUAUAUUAGUUUACGUACUAUUAUUAUUAUUAUUAUUUGAUAUAAUAAUUUUAUAUUCAUUAUUUAUUUGUAGACCAAUUUAUAUUAUACUAAUUCAUUUUUUUGUUAUCUCUUUUAGGACCGAAUUUGAUUCGUUCUUGUUUGAUCAAGUUAUUCUAUUUUUUGCUGGGAAUUCAUCAAAAAUCGAGGAAACAACUUGUUCUAAUUAUUUGAAGAAGAUGAACUUUGCUAUUUGAAGAAGAUGAACUUUGCUACGGUCCGUAGGUCUAGCUAUGUUCCAUAGUUUAUGACCGUCGAUUGAGACCUCAUUCACCCACUUUCUGACAAGAGCCAUAGAUGACCAACACGGUCUGUAGGUGGACCCAUGGUCGGUAGGUCUGACCGGAGGUUGGAAUUAGUAGGCAGUUAAAGGGGAAGUGCAGUUGGGUCAACUUCAAAUGGUCAUAAAUUGUAGCACAAAAUGAAUUAGGUGUCCCAUGACCUACCUAAUUAGCUUUCCAUAGCCACAGACUUUGCUAAAAUCCGACCUCCGAGUAAAAAGUUAUGCCUGUUUCAGUAGAGGCCCGUUGAACAGGCCCAACCUACGGACCAAACGAAGGACCGUCGAUGGAACGACGGACGGUCAGUCCAGGUCGCUGUUUGGUCCGACAACACUUUACCUAGGGGUGUUUUGGUCUUUUCCAAUUUCGUUUAAACCCUAAGAUACGUCAUUUUAACUCUAAAUCAUCAUAUUUUAGUCAGUUUAAUCCAGAAACACAACUAAAACUUAUAUAAGUCAAAUAAUUAAUCAAAACUUAGAAAAUUAAAAGCAAGAAAAGAGAAAAAGUCAAGACCCUAGUUCAAGAACGUAGCAAGGCUCCAGCAAUUCCAGCCACUAAAUCUAAGUGUUUCUCCGUAAAUUUCAUCACCAAGUAUGUGAGAUUUCACUACUGGGUUCCUUUCACCCAUUGGGUUUUCUAGUUUUCAGCCAGAUUCUUAAUUCCAAUAUCAUUAAUAGACUUAGGGUUUCUAGCACUUCAAUAGAACUUCAUGAACUUAUUAGUUAUAUGUUCCAAAUCAAAUUAUCAUGUUAUUACUCAAUUAAUUGCAUGAAUUUCAGAACCCUAGCUAUGUAUUUCUUUAGUUCUUGAAUUACACAAGCUAGAUCAAAUAUUUCAGCUAUUCAUUUAUAUAUGCCUUAGUUUUUAAUGCAUCAUUAUCAGUUUAAAUGUUGCAUUCUCAGUUUUCAUGUUCAGUUUUGACCUAUCCUGUAAUUAAAGAAAACUCAGUCACAAUCAGUUAGUUACAUAAUUCAUGGGAGUAGCAUAAUACAGAAUUGGAUUUGGUUUCAGCGUAACCAAUUAGUCCCAGAACUACUAGCCAAGUAGGUUGUAAGUCCUCUUUAUGGGCAAUUAGUUUACUGAUCGCGCCAACAUGCCUUUAUACCUUUGGCAGAGUAUAUUGGGUCCUCUCAAUGGGGCAUAUACAUCGGACUCCACAUUUAGGUCAUUGGUUUUAUUAUCGGUUAUUAGUAGCUCCCACAUUUUAAACAGACUCUCUUGCAUUGACCAUUUAUUCGUAUACUGGAUAUCCAUUUUCCGCAUUUUAUAAAUUGGUCAAUGCAUUCGGAUAUCUCAGCAUUCAUAAUCUAUAUCAUGUUAAGAUUAUUAUAAUUGCUUAUGCUUGUGAAGUUAUGUUUUAUUUCAGCUUUAUUCUAUCCUACAUGCUUAGUACCUUUCGAAAACUGACGCAUACAUGCGCUACAUCUUCUCGUGAUGUAGGUUUAGGUUCUCAGCAUCCAAAUCACGCAUAGAUUGAUUCUCCGAUCUUUAGUUCAGCAGAUUCAGUGGUGAGUCCUCAUUCUCCGAGGACAAUAGUCAUGAGUUUCUUUUCGGUAUUUAGUCUUUUUGUUUCAGUUUUACUAGAUUUAGCUAGGGCUUGUCCCAGUACUUCUAGUCAGUUAGAGGCUUAUUUCAGACAUAGUUAGAUUCAUCUUAGUAUUGAGUUAGUGACUUCAUUGUAUUAAAGUCAUUAUUUUCAAAUAUAUCAAUUUUAGCAGAUGGGUAUUCCUCAUCUUUUCAUUAUAAAUUAUGAUUUAGUUUCCUGCAUAAGUUUAUUAUCUUUAGUAUACUCAUGAUCAUGCUAGCAGGUUUAGCUUGGGAUCACUUGUGGUCCUAGGUUCCUUGUCUGCGUCUCGGGGCUAGCUGAGGGCGUGACACCCAGAAAAAGAGAAGUUGUAAGUCUAAAAUGGAUUUACGAAAUCAAACUCAAUCAGGAAGGAGAUAUUUAAAAGCACAAAGCAAGGUUGGUUGCUACAGGUUUCACGCAAAAAGCAAGUAUUGAUUUUUAUGAAACUUUCUCUCCAGUUGCUCGUCUUGAGACAAUUAGAACUGUAAUUAAUGUUGCUGCACAAAUGAAAUGGAUGAUAUUUCAACUUGAUCUUAAACCUGCAUUUCUGAAUGGAAAACUUGAUGAAGAGAUUUAUUUUGAGAAACCUCAAGAAUUUUUUGUUCAAGGGGGAGUAGAGAAGGUGUACAGGCUAAAAAAAGCUCUUUAUGGGAUGAAGCAAGAUCCAACAGCAUGGUAAAAUGAAAGUGAUACAUACUUUCUAAAAAAUAAUUUUCAGAAGUAAAAGUGAAGACACUUUGUAUGUGAAGAAAGAAAAUGAAAACAUUAUCAUUGUUUGUCUCUAUAUGGAUGAUCUGCUCUUUAUAGGAAAUAAUGUAAAGAUGGUACAAAAAUUCAAGAAGGAUAUGAUGCAAGCUUAUGAAAUGAGUGAUCUUGGGUUGCUAAAUUAUUUCUUGGGCAUCGAAGUUUCUCAAGUGAAAGAAGAAAUUUUCGUUUCUCAAAAGAAUUAUUCUUCAAAAAUUCAAAAUUAUAGAUUGCAGGUAUGUGGUCAUACCAUUAGCAACAAAGGAGAAGCUUAGAAAAGAUGAUGGAAAAAAGAAAGCUAAUAGCUCACUUUAUAGGAGCUUGAGUGGAAGUUUGCUAUAUCUUAUCAACAAGGCCAUAUAUUAUGUUUGCUGCUAGUUUAUUAUCCAAUUCAUGCAAAAACCAAGCCAAGUGGUUUUUGGAGCUGCAAAGCGUAUUCUACGCUACUUGCAAGGAACAAUGGAUUAUGGGAUAAUGUAUAAAUUCGGUCGAGAUUUGAACUUAAUUGGUUAGAUAACAUGAAGAGCACUUCUAGCUAUGCUUUCUUAUUUGGAUCAAGUAUUUUUUUUCUUGGUUAUCAAAAAAGCAAAGUGUUGUUGCUUAAUCCACUGCCGAAGCAGAAUAUGUUUCAGCAUACAAGGCUACUUCUCAAGCUAUUUGGCUUAGUAGAACGUUUGAAGACAUUGGUGAAAAACAAAAAAAGAGGGAUUGUUCUGUAUUGUGAUACAAAUCAGCAAUUGCAAUUGCCAAGAAUCCAGUCAUCCAUGAAAGAUCAAAGCAUAUUUCCAUCUAGUAUCAUUUUAUUCGAGAAGAACAAGAGGAAAGCGAAAUUCAGUUGCAUUUUUUUAGACAGGAAAACAACUUUCUGACAUCUUCACCAAAGCAUUUCCUAGAGAAAAUUUUUGCUAUCUUCGAGAACGCAUUGGAUUUAUCAAACAAAUACAUUAAGUAGGAGUGUUGGAAUUAAUGCAUCAAUGUUUAGUCUUCCGAGAUUGUCUCUUAGUUUUUCAAGAAUUCUUUUUAGAAUUUCGUAGUACAUGAAUCUAGUAAAUUGUGAUAUAUGUACUUAGUUAUUUGUGCAAGACUUUUUCUUUUCUAUUUUGAGUAGUGUAAAUAGUGAUGUAGUUGAUGAUUGUAAUCAUCUCAAGUGGCCUCAAGUAGCCUAUAAUAAACUUGAGCAUUCUCUAAAGAUACUAUUUCCUUCCAUAUUUCCUACAUCUACGAGCAAUUCUCGUUCUUGCGUUUAUAGUAUGUUUAACUAAUAAGUAAUUGUCUAUGUAUGUGUAUAUUUACAACUUAUUUAAUAUGUAUGCAUAGAUGUCGAACCAAAACCAGUAUAAAAAUAUUGUGCUUUGUUAGGUAUAUUCUCACCUAGUUAUUAAUGUUUUACAGUUUAAAAUUUUUAGAUGACGAUGGAAAAAACUGUUGAUCGAGGAAGAAUGUGGACUGAGACUGAUAGGAGAAAAGAUAGAAGUUAUGUAACUGAGGUGACUAAGGACAUUGGGGUAAGUUUCUUUUUGUAGACAAUUACUCGAGUAUAUGUUUAUAGUAGUGCACAAAUUGGAAAUUUGGUUUAAUAAUGACAUGACGCUAGAUUAGAAGGUAGUGGAAUAGUAGGCUGCUUAGUAUUGUCGUACAUUUAUGUGGGAGAGGCAGAGGAUAGUCUCCUCUGCUUAUGGUCUUUGUAUCUAGUAGUAAUAUUUAGUAUUUACCUAGUAUCUUAUUAAAUAUACAUAGAAUCCAUUGAGAUAUAGAAGAUGAACAAUUUUAUAAAUCCAACAUACAAUCCACUGAGACAUAAAAAAUGUCAAUGUGUGCGUAUCCAAACUUCUAAAGCUAGUCUAUUUUUAGAGAAUUCGACAUGGAUGCGACAUAAAAAGUAAAGAGUCCGCACAACUUAGAUAUAAAUGAAAUAUAAGUAUUUACUAUUUUGUAAACUAAAUGGUCAAAUAGUAAUAUUGAUUACUAUUUCUUUUUGUAUUACUGAGUAAUGCAUUUGUAACUAAAAUUAGAUUCCAAAAGCGUAUAAUACAUUUUCCACAAAUAAAUAAAUGUAUUUUCCUCGAUUUAGAAUGAAAUCUCACCCAAAAAUAGAAGCGAGAAACACCAUAGAUAUGAGCGUUUUCUCUCGUAAGGAAUUUUUUCAGACAAACAAAUAAUUGAAAGUUCCUCUCCCUCCUAUCAAGAGGUGAUUUUCUGAUUGAACGAGAAUGAAUCAUAGUCGGUCCUUAAAAUAGGUAUCAAAAAUUGACUUAACACCAUACAAAUUAGUUAAAAAAUAAAUAAUGAAUAUCAAAUUAUUAUAUCAAAUAGUAAUAAUAUAUAAACUUAUAUGUUCAUUUGUGAUUUUACCAUUUCCUUGUAUUGCUAGUAUAGGCCAAAUCAAUUGGUGACCCCCUAAACAUGGCAUCAAUUUUUACUUAAACACUUCAAUUAGGCGAUGUUCAUUUUAGACACGCCAUUCAGGGUUAUGUUGUGUCAUUUUGACACUUUUCUGACAAUAAACAAAGAACUAAAGGAGAGUGUAAUACACUCGUUCAUGACGUGACAAACAAUCAUUUAAAUAAUUGCAUAUGUUAUUUUCAGUUUUAAAAAAUAAUAAAAUCUAUUUAGCCAAUAAAUUAAAAAAUUAUUCUAAGAAAAUCUCUUAUUUCAUUACACUCAAAAUCUCUUUUGUGCUUUUUUUUCUAAAAAAAUUCUUUUCUUUUACUAUUUUACAUAUUUAUUUAUCUUUUUAUUUUUAGUAUUGUGUUUUGGAAAGAAAAGAGGGACGAGAAGAAAGAAAAAGAGAAUAAAUAUGAAAUAUGGGUGUUGAUAUCCAUUUUUCCGACAAAAAAAUGGAGGGAGGUGAUGGUAGAUUUAGAUAAGUAAUACAAUGAAAGAAGAAGAAAAUGACUUAAAAACGAAUUUGAAAAAAAAUUGACCUUCAUUGAAGGAAUUUAAGAUUGAAAAAAAGUAGGGGGUGGUGGCUUGAAAAAUGGAGAAGAAGAAGAGAAUAAAAUUUAAAAUGGCUAAAUUAAGUCUUUCACGCGCUAUUGUUGAGUGUAUCACACUCACUUUGACAUGUCAGCAAAAAAUGUCAAAAUGACACGAUAGAACCCUAUAUAAUGUGUCUAAAAUGUACAUCGCCUAAGUGAGGUGUCUAAGUGAAAAUUGGUGCCAAGUUUAGGGGGCCACCGAUGAGUUUAACCACUAGUAUAUAACCUUUUCUUCCAUGAACUUGAUCAAAAUGAUAGAGUAGUGGCACAACACGAGGAAAUAUUUUACUACACACUCGACAUGCAAUUAAAUUAUACAAGUCAUUGUGAUGUUUUUCUUCAUUAAUCUGAAUCAUAUAUUAUUAUUUAAAGUGGAAAGCUCUUGAUUUUGUGAUGUGACAAAAUGGUAAUCCAACUUUAAAUAUAAGAGUUUCCCACUUUAAAUAAUAUAUGAUUUGACUUAAUUAAGAGAAAUAUAGUAGCUUAUACUAAUUUAAUUGCAUGUCGAUUGUGGGGCAAAAAAUUUUCUCACAUUGUGCCACUAGUUUAUCAUUUUGAUCAAAUUAAUGGAAGAAAACGUUAUACGGUAGCAAUACAACGAAAUGGUAAAAUCAUACAUGAAUAAAUUAGUUUAUAUAUAAUUAUUAUUUGAUAUAAUAUUUUGAUAUUCAUUAUUUAUUUGUUGGUCAAUUUAUAUUAACGCCACGCCAAUUUUUUUACUUCUUUUAAGAUAGACUAUGAUUCAUCUUAUUCGAUCAAAAACCUACAUCUUGAUAGGAAAGAGUUUAAUAUUUUUAUUUGUUUGAAAACAUCCUUACAAGAGAAAACACUCUUAUCUUGGAUUUUUCUUGUAACUAUUUUUGUGGCAAUUCAUUUUAAGUAGAGGCAAAUUACCUUUUUUUUUACAAGGAAGGUGAAGUUUCCAAAGGAUUAUAAAUACAUAUUCCUCAUAUAGAAAUGUCACGCUCCGAGCUACCCCCGAGACGCGGACACGACCUAGGAUCACAAGUGACCCAAAGCUAACCUUGUAGGCAAUUUGGCAUAUAUAAACAUAUUAUGAUAACUGAAAUGAGAUAAUAAUGAGGGUAAGCUUUAUCAAAACUGUAAGUGAUGAAGAAUACCCAUUCUAAAACUGAAUAUAUAAGAAAACUAAGAGUUUUAACACAGCUGAAAGUCAAACUCAAAUGAACUUAAGCUAAAUCUAGCUAUGUCUUGAAUAAGCGUCUACUGACUAGAAAUGCCGGUACAUACCCCAGCUAGAUCUAGCAAAUAAUCAAAAUAAAGACUAAAAACGAAGGGAAAUAAUCAUGUCACUUGUCCUCGAAGAAUGAGGACUCAUCAUUGUAACUGAUGAACUGAACAUCGAGAACCUAUUGAUCUAAGCGUGAUCUGGCAGUUGAGAACCCGAACCUACAUGAAGAGAAGAUGUAGCGCAAAGUAUGUAUCAGUACUUGAAACGUUAAGCAAAUCGAUACUCAAUUGUGCGCAAGUCAUGCCAUUCAUUGAGUGAGUUUUUAAGGCAAACCAGCUUCCAUCAUUCUAUUUGAUGAUCUUACAUUGUCUUUGGUCUGUAGUGAAGAUAUAUGUUUAGUUUUUAGUUUGGACUCAUUGUAGUUUUUAAGUUAUUAUAAUUCUAUGCUUUUGGAAACUGAUUUAUAAACAGAAAAUAUAGUUCAGCGCCAACAAAUGUAUCCUCAUAAUUUUGUAGUGAUUUAAUGCAUUUCAUGUAUCAGUGUUUAUUGGUUCCUUUAUGUUUUAGUUUGUCACUUAUAAAACUAGUAUUGUUAGUUAGUAAGCUAGAAAAGUGAUGAGUGUUUGUGGAUGAGUUUCUGAGUGAUGAGUCAUCUAGACGGCAUUCUUGCAUUAAGAAUAUUACUAUGGGAGUGCCUAUAGCUUCUUGGAUUACGCACUAUGAUCAAUCAAUGACUGCUUUCUUGGUAACAGACAUGUUAAAAGUAGGCCUGAUUGUGAGGGAGAGGCAGAAAUGCGAAGAGAUGGUGAUUGCAUCCACUAUGCGUAACGUGGUGAGGAAGUUGAUGACAUCACAAGAUAGAGUUGUGAAUUAUGUGUUGGAUUUGUGCAUCUAUUUGUUUUGUGUAUAUAUUAUCUAUGCCAAAUUUGGUGUAGGAAGAAAGCUGCAGGUCUCUAGACUCUACGAGCAAUACUAAUUCUUGCGUUGAUAAUAUGUUUAACUAGUAAGUAUUUGGUUAUAUAUGUGCAAAUUUACAACUUAUUUGAUAUGUAUUCACAGAUGCCGAAGCAAAACCAGUUUACACAUGAUGUGUUUUGAUAGGUAUAUUCUCAAAUGGCAUAUGGAAAAGCUGUUGAUCGAGGCAGAAUGUGGACUGAGACUCAUAGGAGAAAAGAUGGGGUAAGUAUUCUUUCUGUAGACAAUUACUCGAGUAGAUGAUUAUAGUAUUGCACUAUUUGAGAUUUUGUUCUUUAACUCAAUUUGCCUUAAUUAUAACCCUAGAUAAGAAGGUUUGGUGGUCGAAGAUUAGGGUAAUGGAAUAGUAGGUAGCUUAGUAUUGUCGUACAUUUAUGUGGGAGACACAGAGGCCAGUCUCUUUUGCUUAUCGUCUUUGUAUCCAGUAGUAAUAUUAGUAUUUACCUAAUAUCUUAGGGAUAAUGCCCAAAUACCCCCUCAACCUAUGCCCGAAAUCUCAGAUACACACUUAUACUAUACUAAGGUCCUAUUACCCCCUGAACUUAAUUUAUUAUUAAUUUUUUUACCCCUUUUUAGCUUACGUGACACUAUCUUGUGGGUCAAACGAUGGUUGACUUUUUUUUCGAACUAGUGCCGCGUAGGCUAAAAAGGGGUAGAAAAUUACAUAUAAAAUAAGUUCAAGGGGGUAAUAGGACCUUAGUAUAGUACAAGUGUGUCUCUGGAAUUUCGGACAUAGGUUGAGGAGGUACUUGGGUAUUUUCUCAAUAUCUUAUUUAAUAGACAUAGAAUCCAUUGAGACAUCUGAAGAUGAAUAGUAGUAUAAAUCUGAUAUAUAAUCCAUUGAGACAUCAAAAAUGUCAAUGUAUAUAGUAUAUUUUUAGUAAUAAAAUCAUUAUAUCAAAUAGUAAUAAAAUAUAAACUAACUGGGUAAUUUACCCGCGCUUAGUACGGCAUAAGAAAUCUUUCUAACCUUUUGAACAACUUUACAAAUGAUCGACUCUUAUAAGAAAAAAAGUAAAUUUUUGUAGGUUUUUAGAACAUUUAUAGACAAAUUACACGAUUUUACAUUAUUUCAUGUCUCAAAAAUUUUAAAAUAUAAUUAAUGAUUUAAAAUAUCUUGAUAUCUAAUUAUUUUUAUAUUUUGCAUAAUUAUCAUAUUAUAUGUUUGAUGAUAUAAUAUUCUCGUAAAAGUUGAGUGAUAUUUUUAUGUAGCGAUUAAUAACCUUUUUAUAUACAUGAAAAUAUAGAAUAUGAUAAUUCUAUGGUUAUCAUAACUUCUUGUGUAAAAAAUUUUAUGCUAAUAUUUUUUAUUAUCAAUAUUAUUUAAAAAUAAGUUAUGCCCGUUAAAAACUAUACACCGCAACAACAUAAAUAAAAUUUUUAGAGACAAUAUACUUGUCUGAGGUCAAAUUUUCUCCACUUUUUGUUAAUAUUACUUUGUUAUUCUAAGAAAAAUUUAUACAAGGAGAAAAAUAUAUUUUUGAACAACAUAAAAUAAUAUCGUUGCCCUUAUAGAAAUUCAUUCUUCAUUAAACUCUGGAAGACCCUUCCGGAUUCUUCAUUAAUGCAACUUUACGACUUUUUAGGAAUAUUUAUUUAUGAUUGUUACAUUUGAAAGUACACAUAAAUUAGAAUGUUGUAUUGUAGACUCAUGUUAAAGAAACAUUCUUGAAAAUUAAAAAAUUAAAAAUGAGUCUAUCCUAGAUAAUUCGAACGCUCAACAAUGACUUGGAACAUGAAGGAUAACAAAUCUAUAUUAAUAGACAUAUCUUUUGUAGAUUAAAAUAUUAUUUUUAUUUAGAGUAGAUUUUGCUUCAUAUUCUUUAAAUUAAGCUUGACUGAAAUAGUCGUAACUCACAACAAAAAUAUUUAGAAGAGACGAAUGAAAAGGAAAAAUAAGGAAAAUAUUAAAAGGACUAAAAUCAUUAUCAUAGUCAGAUUAUAUACAUACAAACCAAAAAUAAUCAACAUAAUUGUAAGGAGACAACAUAAUAGCAAGAAAAACAUACAUUAAAGGGAGUAAACUAUAGGAUGUUCAAAGAUGAUAAUAAAUCAUUCUAACCAGAAAAGUUCUUAUCUUUUGAAAUGACAUACCUUAAAGAAUUGACUAGCAUUUCAAUCAACUUUUCAAUCCUUAAAGUAAUCAUAAUAUCCAGUGAUAAAAUUAGGGAUAAUGCACAAGUACCCCCUCAAUCUAUGCCAAUAUUCUCAGAGACACACUUAUACUAUAAUAAGAUCAUAUUAUCCCUCCUGAACUUAUUUUAUUAAUAAUUUUCAACCUCUUUUCGACCUACGUGACACUAUCUUGUGGGCCCAACACUGGUUGACUUUUUCUUUCAAGCUAAUGCCACGUAGGCUGAAAAGGGGAAGAAAAUUAGUUAUAAAAUAAGUUCAAGGGGGUAAUAGGACCUUAGUAUAGUAUAAACGUGUCUCUGAGAUUUCAGGCAUAGGUUGAGGGGGUACUUGUGCAUUUUUCCAUAAAAUUAAGUAUAAGUAAAUAACAACAUAAAAAUAAAAAAUACAUGCGCAUGCAUAGUUAUUAACUCUCAGAGAAUUUUCUGAAGGACACAAAAUUACAUCCUUGUAUGUGAAGGAAUAACGUUGUUGAUGAAGAGAUCUGAGAUUUGAAAAGGCUUUUUAAAUGUACAUCCAACAAUUUCAGUCGAGAAAACUUGCUUGAAUAUUCAAUUGACAUUUGUUAUUUAAUUUCUACUAACAAAUACUUAUAAUAACAGCUUUACAUAAACAUAAAUAACAAAGUUUAAAGCAUAUACUCAAAAACAACAACCAAUAAAAUAAGCAUAAACUAAUGAUUGUAAAAAAUAUAUUAGGAUAUGCAACAUUGAAAUAAAACAUAAUGAUACAAAUCGAGCCCAUUGUAUGCACAUUGUAGUUCUCUAUUUAUAGACAACAAAUGCUACUUAUAAAAAUGAUUAGUGUGUCUUAUCAGAAAUGACACAAUUCUUUGGAAAAGUUACAACCUUUUAGAAAAGGAACAACAUUUCGUAAAAGUCGCAACUUUUCAUGAUAAAAGUUUCAACAUUUCAUAAAAGUCACAACUUUUCAUGAAAGAGGAAACCUAGUUUUGGAAAUAAAAUAAAUUAAAGAAAAUCCUUGCUUGUGAUGUCGCCACAUAGAGGUCCUAAGGUUCUCUUUAAUAUAAAUAUAUGAUAUUUUAUUAUAUAGUAUUUUAAUUAAAUAACAGUUUCUAUUUUUUCUUAAAUUAUUUAAAAGUUAGUCUUUUAUUCCAAAUUAUUUCAAUUGUAGUCACUCCAAUUUAUUCAAAAUCCUAGCCCUUCAUCUCUUAUGAAAUCAAUGGUUGAGAUUAAAUUAUUCUUUUCCCUAUUUUAACUAUCAAAAAAUCUAAACCUAAACCCUAGUCUUCUUAUUCUCUCCUCCUCCCUGCCUUCCCCUUCGCUCUUCUCUUCUUCUUCUCCUCUCCAGCGAGCUGCCAUGCAGCUCCGACCAGCGGCGAUUAGUGAGAGAGGGCAGCGAAACUCCGGCGAGAUGCGCCAGGCGCCGCCGCCCCUUCCCCCUUUUCUCCUUCCCUCUCAGAUCUCUCCUCCCUCCUCUUCUCGUUGUUCUUUUUUUCUCUCUCUCUUUGCAGGACCACCAGGCAGCAGGCUCCGGCGAAGAACAGUGACCAGCAGCAACGAGCCAACGCCAGCAACAGCAACUAGACGCUACCUCAUCUCAAUCUCAAGCGAGCAUAUGCGAAAGCCAGCUCCGACCAGUAGCAAUUCGACGAUUCUCCUCUUUUGCGACGAGGACAGACAACAUACUCCGUUGAGCAUUUCGGGGUUUUGAGACAGAUCUUCAACAAAUCCGUCGAGGUAAGUUUCUUUUUUUAAUUUCAUCUUUUUCUUCUAUACUUCUGGAUUUUAAGAUAUUCUGAGUUAUUUGGGUAGCUCCAUUGAUUCUUAGAAAACUAGUCUAGGCUGUGAUUUCUCUAUUGUUGCUUGUUUGUUCUUGUGGUGAUCUUUUUCAAAUAAAGAGCACAAAAUCUAUUAAGCACAAGUGAAUUUAGAAACCCUAACCUGUAAAUCAUACAUUUUCAUUCUAAACCUAAAUGCAAUUUGCAUUCCCAGCCCGCGUCAGUACUUAUUAGGUUAUUCCAGGUCCUUACUAGCAUCUGACAGACACGACAAAUGUCCUCUAAUUAAUGCAACUCUAGAAGAAAAUAAUGCUUAUAUAUAUGGUAAUAACUAAUCUCUCCAUAACUUGUGUAGGAGUAAUCUGUUGUUCUCAGACGAGCGAGGGAGAAACGGUAAGUCUCCAUGUCUUCACCAAGUAAGCAUCACAAACCACACAUGGUAAUUCUUGAAAAAUAUUUGUUGUAUGUAUGAUUUCAUUUUGUUAUUUGUUGUAUUUAGUAUUGGAAUGAAACAUAGCGGAGAGGAUUUAGUACUCCUAUGGUCUACCCCAUCUAUUCAGUUGUUUGUUACACAUUAUUUCGUUAUUGUUAUUUUUCCUAUAUGUGUAUUCCUUUUUCAAACUAUUUGGCAUGCUUUAUUUAUGCGGAGUUGUUUAUGAACAAGUCGGGGCUAAGAUUUAAGUGCUUCUCUACAAAGUAUAGAUUUAUCGAAACUGAUUCUGUUUAUGAGGUUUUGAUUCCUCUAAAUGCCAUAUGGAUAGAAAUCAGCCCAAAAGUUUGAGAGAUUUUUGUGGGAUUGAAUGAACCAACCUGCCUUUUGGAACCAAAUAUGAUGCUUUGAUCUACCAUGAAACUCUAAGAUAUACCUAUGCAUACUUCAAAGGCUAACACUUGUGUAUAGUUCUUCUUGGACACCUUAGCUUGUAACUCAAUUUUGUCUCCAAAAUUUCUAAAUUUAUCUUUCACUUUCAUCUUUCAUCUCGGCUAUGUUUUAAUUCAGAGUUUCCUUUUUUUUUUUAGUUGGAUUGAUGUCCUUGAACUGAAUGUCUUUCGUACACGACCUCUUAAUUUUCAUGAAAUAGUGGUAAGAUUCGCAUACUCUCUACAUUCUUCAUACUCUACUAAGUGAGAUUCCAUUAGGUAUGUUUUUGAUGAUGAUUAUAUUUUUACAAGGGAAAAGAUGGAAAAGCUCCUUCUAAUGUUGCAGUUUUAUAUGAAUAAAUUUUAAGCUGGAAAGCUCUAAUCUUAAAAAUUGAACUACCAUCUUGCCCAUCUACUAUAUUAAGAAUUUAAUUAAAUGAUAAUAUUUUAAUUAUCUAUAGAUUGAAUUAUAUAAAAUUAUAAUACAUCCAUAAACAAAUCUUCCUCAUAUUAAAAAUGUAGUUAAGCUAGAUUUAAAAUGAAUUGUCACUCAAAAUAAGAAGAGUGAAACACCCUAGAUAGGAGUGCUUGCUCUUUUAAGGGAGUUUUUAAACAAAUUAAAAAUUCAAAGUUCCUCUUUCUCCUAUAAAAAUGGUGAUUUUCUGCUCGAACAAAAAUGGAUCAUAGUUAAUCCUCAAAGACAUAAUGACACCCCCCCCCAAUUAAUACAAAUAUAAUCUGGUUAGAAAUAAAUAAUUAAUAUCAAAUAUAAAUAAUAUAUAAACUAAUAUUCUCAUGUGUGAUUUUAUUAUUUCCAUGUAUUGCUAGCAUAUACUGAUCAAAAUGAUAGAGUAGUGGUACAAAACAAGGAAAUAUUUUUCUACACACUCUGCAUUCAAUUAAAUUAUGUAAAUCACCGUUAUGUUUCUCUUAAUUGCUGAAUUAAUCUAUGAUUCAACUUACUUAAGAGAAAAAACUAAUGUAUACUUAUACUAAUUUAAUUGAAUGCCAAGUGUGUGGCAAAAUAUUUUUCUUAUGUAGAUCAUUUUGAUCAAGUUUAUGGAAGAAAAUGUUAUAUGUUAAUAAUUCAACGAAAUGUUAAAAAAUCAUGAAUGAAUAUGUUGGUUUAUAUGUUAUUAUUAUUUGAUAUUCAUUAUUGAUUCGCCGAGAAUUUUAGGACCGACUAUGAUUCGUUUUUGUACGAUUAGAAAAUUCCCUUCUUAAUAAGAGUAAUUUUUAAUUUUUAGUUUGUUUAAAAACUUUCUUGCAAGGAAAUCACUCCUAUCUAGGGUAUUUCUCCCUUUUAUCUUUGAGGCAAAUCAACUUUUCAUAUGAGGAAGACAAUAAGCCCUAGGUUAUUUUGUCCAAGAUAAGUAAUAAACUCUUUUUGCUUAUAAGACUUUCCAGUUUUUUAACACAUGUGUUAUAUGAGUUCAUUUUUUAGUACGUGUGUUGCACGGGCCUCUAAUGUUCCGAGUAAUUAAGUUUACAAUGAUAGUUGAGGUUGGUCAGUACCUCCAACGAGACCAUAAUGAUGGGACAUGUCGUUACAUUUAUGUUUCUUCUUGGAUGCCUUGUAACUCAAUUUUGUCUCCAAAAAUCUAUCUGUUGUCACAUAACUGAUUUUUCUUUAACUAAAAAAAAGGAUUUGUAGCCUCUUUCAAAGCUACAGAGCUAACAGAAUCCAAGAAGAGUUCUAAAUUAGUUGUCAGGGUCAGUUUGGACCAACUAAAAAGGCUAACUAGACAUCUGCCUCACCAUAGAUCUCUAGAAAGUUAAAAUUCCAUCAAAACAUCAUUUGUUCAUCUCUGUCAAUAAAAACCAAAAUAUUUACACCAAAAGAUAGCACUAGGGAUCAUUUAGUUCCCUGUCAUUUAGGUUUCUCCUGAACCUUUUGUCCUAAAUGUUAUCUGAUCUGUUGGAUGGUAUGGUAGAAUUUGAUUCAGUUGCAAUGAGGUGGAAAUCUUGAAAUUCCUCACCCAAAGUUGUGUCUCCCAACCAUAUGUCGUUCCAAAAUUUGAUGUGAGAUCCAUUGGCAACUCUAAAUGUGACGUUCCCAGCAAAAUCUGGCAAAGUUUACCGAUGCUUUUCCAUAGACCAACUCCAUAUGCAUCUGUUGAGACAUUUAUGGACCAGUGAGUAAGAUCACCAUGUUUAUCUUUGAUCACCUCUUUCCACUAUCCAAUGUCUUCAGUUCCGUACCUCCAUAAUAAUUUCAUCAUCAUGUUUUUAUUUGUAAGCUGCAAGAUCUUUAAUACCCAAACCUCCUUGAGAUUUCGGUUGUGUCACUUUUGCCCAUUUAACCUAGUGAAUCUUAUGAUCCUUGCGGUUUCCUUCGCAUAGAAAAUUUCUUCUCAUGCUAUCGAGCUUUUCGAGAACUUUUGCUGGAAUAGGUAAAAAGGGACAUAUUAUAUGUAGGGAUGCUAUCUAUUACACUAUUAAUCAAUAAAACUCUUCCUCCAAAAGAAAGAUAUUGCAUUUUCCAUGUUGCUAGUAUUUUUUCAAAUUUCUCAAUUAUUCCCAAUCAUAUAUCAUUAGACUUUAAAUUCGCACCUAAAGGCAACCUAAGAUAAGUUGUUGCAACACAUGAUUCCGGUUAGCUCUCCCAAGUUUACUGGAUAGACAGUGCUUUGUGACAUAUUUGUGUAUAGUCCAGCAACAACUUCAAAGAUGUGCAAAAUCAAGUUUAGCUUAAUAACUAAUGAUCUAUCUACUUGACAAAAUAGCAGAGUAUCAUCCGCAUACAACAGAUGUGAAAUUGUGACAUUGUUUCCCGUGAGACUGCCUACUUUGGAGCCUUCAAUCCAUUGUAGUUGCAUGCUUCUUGGGGCAUCUUACUCAGGCCUUCCAUAGCAAGGAUGAAAAGAAGGGAAAGAUAACUGAUCUAGAUUUAGAAUGAAUUGUCACACAAACUUUUAGGAAAAACACUCUUGAUAGAAGCGCUUUCUCUUGUAAGGAAGUAUUUCAAACAAACUAAAAAUUUAAAGUUCCUCUUUCUCCUAUAAAGAUGGUGAUAUUGUAAUCGAACAAGAAUGAAUCAUAGUCGGUCAUAAAAGAGGUUACUGAAAAAAUCUGACUUAACCUAAAUAUAAAUUGGUUGAAAAAUAAAUAAUGAAUAUCAAAUUAUUAUAUCAAAUAGUAAGAAUAUAUAUACUAAUAUGUUCAAAUAUGGUUUUACCAUUUUCUUGUAUUGCUAGCAUAGACCUUUUGUUUUAUGAACUUGAUCAAAAUGAUGAAAUAUUGGUGCAGCAUGAGGAAAUAUUUUGUCACAUACUCGACAUGCAAUUGAAUUAGUAUAAAUUACCAUUAUGUUUCUCUUAACUAUGUUGAAUUGAUAUAUGAUUUAACUUAAUUAAGAGAAAAAUAACUUAUACUUAUACUAAUAUAAUUGCAUGCCAAGUGUGUGACAAAAUAUUUCUUUACGCGUCUAUCAUUUUGAUGAAGUUUAUGGAAGAAAAUGUUAUUUGCUGACAAUAGUACGAAAAUGCCAAAAAAUAAUGCAUGAAUAUGUUAGUUUAUAUAGUAUUAUUAUUUGAUAUUCAUUAUUUAUUCGUCGACAAAUUUAUAUUUGGGUUAAGUCAAUUCUUUUGUUAACUCUUUAGGAUCGACUAUGGUUCAUUUUUGUUCGAUCAGAAAAUCACAAUCUUAAUAAGAAUUUUGAAUUUUUAGUUUGUUUAAAACUUACAAGGGAAAACGAUUCAAUCUAGGGUAUUUCUCCAUUCGAUUUUUAGAUGGUGAUUCAUUCUAAAUCGAUGCAACAUUAGCAUUUUUUAUACGAGGAAGAUGGACUUCGAAUUAUUAGUUAAAGUAAAACUUCCUUACCAGGGCAGCUAUCUAACAAGAGUGAAAAAGGUUUUAUGUAGGAGUUGUUCACUGGUAGUAUAGUUAUGAAAUUAAUACUAUUCUUGUAAAAUUUAGCAACUACUUCUUUAGCAUUUUGUUCCUUUAACUCUAUGUUCAAAGAUGACAAUUAGUCUUAUGUUAUUUUGUCCAAGAUAAACAAUGAACUCUUUUGCUUAUAAGAGUUAUAAUUAAGUUCAUAAUGAUAGUUGAGCUUUGUCAGUACCUCCUCCAAAAAUUCAAAGUUUCUCUUUCUCCUAUAAGGAUCGUGACUUUUUGAACGAACAAGAAUGAAUCAUAGUUCGGUCCUAAAGGAGGUAAAGAAAAGAACCCGACUUAACACAAAUAUAAUUGAGUUAGUUGUAAAAUAAAUAAUGAAUAUUAUGUAGUAAUAAUAUAAAAACUAAUAUGUGCAUGUGUAAUUUUACCUUUCCCUUGUAUUGCUAGCAUAUAACCUUCUCUUCCGUGAACUUUAUCGAAAUGAUAGAGUAGUGCCAACAAGAGGAAAUAAUUUGCUACACACUCAAUGCAAUUAAAUUAGUGUAAAUCAUUGUUAUGUUUCUUUUAACUAAAUUGAAUUAAAAUAUGAUUCAGGUUACUUAAGAGAAAAAAUAAUAUAUACUAAUACUAAUUUAAUUGCAUGUAAAAGUGUGUGGCAAAAUAUCUCUUUAUGUGGAUGAUAUUAUUGUCAAUGCAGUAAUUCAUCUCGUAUCUCAGAGUUGGUUCUAUAACUUGGGAAGAUGUUUGAUAUGAAAGAUCUUGACCCUUUACAUUUCUUUCUGAGGUAAAGUAUGUUGCUGAACUGUUGGCCAAGAUAGAGAUGACUUUGGCAAAGGCGGUAGCCAUUCCUGUGGCUCAAAAGCAUAGUUUCCAUGAAGCUGUAGGAAGUCUUGUAGAUGCCUCUUUGUACAAAAUGAUAGUAGGGAGCCUUCCGUAUUUGACCCUCACAAAACCUGAUAUAAGUCAUGCUAUAAAUUUAGCAAGCCAGUUUCUGCAAAGUCCAAACAUUGAACAUAUUGAAGCGGUAAAAGGGAUUUUCAAGUACAUUAAAGGUACUCUACACUUUGGCUUAAGAAUUAUUUCUAAAUCACCUUAUAUGUGGUAUGGCUACUCAGAUUCUGAUUGGGGAGGUAGUACCACUAUUAGGAGAUCAAUUACAGGCUAUAACAUCUACCUAGGUGCAAAUUGUUUUUUUUGGACCCCCAAGAAAUAGACUAUAGUAGCCCGAUCGAGUGCUGAAGCUGAGUAUAGAGCACUAGCCUCCAUUACCGUAGAAAUGACGUGGAUUUUGUAUCUUCUUCAUGACCUUGGAAUGUUCCUUCGAUCUAUUCCUACGUUGUAUUGUUAUUAUAACAUGAGUGCCUUGGACAUGACGAUUAUUCUAGUUAUGCAUGCUAGAUACAAACAUUUAUUAACGGCCUAUCAUUUUUUUCAUGAGAAAGUGGACAUGAGACAACUUCUUAUUCAGUUUGUGAAGUUUAAGGUCAACUAGUUGAUAUUCAUACCAAAGUCUUAACAAAGCAGGUUUUCUUUGAUUUCGCAGCAAGUUAGGAGCCACAAAUCCUCCAAUCAUUAGCUAGAGGGGAAGUGUUGUAGGAAACUUGAAGUUCCUCCAAUCAUUAGCUAGAGGGGAAGUGUUGUAGGAAACUUGAAGACUGAUGGAACAUGUCGAAGGAAUAGUAGACCGAUGAGCAUGUUAAAGGGGCAGAUUCAUUGAAGCAGACUAACAAGUUAGAGUUGGAGUCAUACUAGGACUAGACUACUAAAUCUCAAGUUAUGUACGACUAAGCUACUGUAUAUUGUAGGAGUCAACAAGGAUAAGGUAUUUGAGUUAUAAUACAAUACUACUCAUGUAAACAAUUGUGUUGUAGUAGGAUUCAUAGUAUAACUAGAAUAUGACUCUUCUCCUAUAUGAGGAGCUUGUGACUCAACAUUAUUUUCAUCAAUGCAUCCUCGAUUUCUCCAUAGUUACGUGAGAUUUCUACAAUAAUAUAUAUAUAGCUAUAAAAUUUAAGCUAUGAAUUCAAAAAUCACAGCUAUUACGUAUUAAUAGACACGAAAUUUUGAACACCAUAUGUAUCUAUAAAUUCAUUAAUUUCUUAGCCACAAAUAUCAAAUUGCUGAAGCUAAUUUAUUAUUUUUGCUAUGAAUAUUAAUAAUUGUGGCAGUAAUUGUCUAAGGUAGCUAUAACUUUAUUGCUUUGAUAAAAUUUUAUAGUUGAUCAUAUCUUUUUGCUAUGCGAUAAAUAUUAUUGUGGCAAUAUUAACCUUUUAGCCACAAUAAAUUAUUUGAAACAAAAUAUUGUAGCUAUAUAAAAUAUUUUGCUUCAAUUUUUUGACGCCCAAUUUAGACUGACCUUUUAGCAUUUUUAGGAUUGCUAUUCAAUUAAAUACAUAUUUUUAAAACUUAUUUUAAAUUUAUAAUUUUAGUCGACUUUGCAUGAAAAUUAUAUAAUUAAGUAUGUUUACUUUAUAAAAUUAUUGUAAAUAUUAUUAAAAUAUUUUAAAAUUAUUAAUAAAUUUCAAAAUAAUUACUUCAUUCAAAUGUUUUAAAAUUUAAGUAAUUUUCAAUUAUAUAAAAACUAGGAAAUUUAUCCGCGCUUUCCGCGGGCAUAAGUUAUAUUUCUAACCUUUUUAAUAAUAGCUUUUAUAAAGAAGUAAAAGUAAAUUGUUAUAGGUUCGUAGAACAUCUCUACAGAAACUAAAUGACUUGACAUUAUCACAUAACUCAAGAAUUGUAAAUAGAUAAUUAAUGAUUAAAGAUAUUUGAUAAUCUAAUUAUCUUUAUCUUUUACAUAACUUAUCAUAUUAUAUGUUUGAUGAUAUAAUUGUCUUGUUAAAAUUGAGUGAUGUUUUUAUGUAGCGAUUAAACAUCACUUUUUCUAUUUAUUUUUUGUACAUGAAAAAUAUAGAAUCUUAUAAUUUUAUGGUUAGAAUAACUCCGUGUGUGAAUAUAUUUAUGUGAAAAUUUUCUAUAAUCAAUAUUACUUAUAUAUAAGUUGAAAUCGUUUUAAAAAUGUACAAUGCAACAACAUAAAUAAUUUUUUAAGAGACAUUCUACUUGUCUGAGGUCAAAUGUUCACCACUUCGUUAUCAUUAAUUUAAUACUCUAACGAAAACUUAUAGAAGGAGAAAUAAAUUUGGAAAAACAACAAAAUUAUAUGUUUGACCCUUAUAUAAAUUCAUGUUUCACUAAACUGCGGAAGACCCUUCCGGAUUCUUUAUAAAUGAAACUUUAUGACAUAUUCAUGCAUUCUUACGUAUGCUUGUUGGAUUAUGAAAGUACAAAUAGAUCAAAAUGUUGGAUUUUAGAUUCAUGUUAAAGAAAUAUUCUCGAAAAUUAAAAAAAUUAAAAAUGAGUCUAACCUUGAUAUCAAACGCUCAGCAAUGACUUGAGACAUGAAGGACAAUAAAUCUAUAUUAAUAGACAUAUCUUUUGUAGAUUAAGAUAUUAGUUUUAUUUAGAGUAGAUUUUGUUUCAUAUUCUUCAAAUUAAUCCUGGCGAAAAUAAUCGUAACAUACAACAAAAUUUUCCGAUUGAAAAGGAAAAAUAAGUAAAACAUUAAGAGGAUUAAAAUCGUUAUCAUAGUCAGAUUAUAUACAUUCAAAUCAUUAAAGGGAGUAAACUAGAGGAUAUUCAUUGAUGAUAACAAAUCAUUCUAGCCAGAAAAGUUCUUAUCUUUUGAAAUAACAGACCUCAAAAAUAACAUUUCAAUCAACUUUCAAUUGUUAGAGUAAUCAUAAUAUCCAGUGAUAAAAUUAAGUAAAAUACAUAACAACAUAAAAUAAAAAAAUAUGUGCAUGCAAAGUUAUUAACUCUCAAAGGAUUUUCUUAAGAACAUAAAAUCACAUCCUUGUAUGUGAAGGAAUAACGUUGUUGAUGAACAAAUUUGAGAUUUGUUAAGGCUUUUUUAAUAUACAUCCAACAAUUUCAGUAGAGAAAACUUUCUUGAAUAUUCAAUUGACAUUUGUUAUUUAAUUUGUACUAACAAAUACUUGUAACAAUAACUUUACAUAAACAUAAAUAGCAAAUUUUAAAACAUAUACUCAAAAACAGCAAUCAACAAAAUAAGCAUAAAUUAAUGAUUGUAAAAACUAUGCCAGGAUAUGCAACAUUGAAAUGAAACUAAAUGAUACAAAUCGAUCCCAUUGAAUGCACAUUGUAAUUCUCUAUUUAUAGACAACAAAUGAUACUUGUAAAAAAUGAUUAAUGUGUCUUAUCGGAAAGGACACAAUUCUUUGAAAAAGUUACAACCUUUCAAAAAGGGAACAACAUUAUGUAAAAGUCGCGACUCUUCAUAAAAGUCGUAACUUUUCAUAAAAUUCGCAGCUUUUCCUGAAAAAAGUUAGAACAUGUCAUAAAUUUAGAACAUAUCAUGAAAGUCACAACUUUUUAUAAAAGAGAAAGACUAGUUUUUGAAAUAAAUUAAAUUAUAAAGAAUCUUUGCUUGUGGUGUCGCCACAUAGGCAGUCCUAAAGUUCUCUUUUAUAGAAAUAUAUGAUAUUCUAAUAUAUGUUGUAUUUCAAUUAAAUAACAAUUCAAUUUUCCUGAAAAUUAUUUAAAAAUUAGUCUAUUUUAUUCAAAUUAACUUAAAUUCUAGUCACUCCAAUUUAUUCGAAUCCUAACCUUUCAUCUCUUAUUAAAUCAACGGUUGAGAUUAAAUUCUUCUUUUCCCUAUUUAUAAACUCUCAAAAAAUCUAAACCUAUACCCUCGUAUUCUUCUUCUUUCCUCUCUGCCUUCCCCUUCGCUCUCCUCUUCCUCUUCUCCUCUCCAGCGAGAGAGGGCAGCAAAACACCGGCGAGAUGCGCCAGGCGGCAGCACCCCUUCCCCCUUUUCUCCUUCCCUCUCAGAUCUCUCCUCCCUCCUCUUCUCCUUGUUCUUUUUUCUCUCUCUCUUUGCAGUGCCACCAGGAAGCAGGCUCCGGCGAAGAAUAGCGACCGGCAGCAGCAAGCCAACGCUAGCAACAACAACCAGACGCUGCCUCAUCUCAAUCUCAGGUGAGCAUCUGCGAAAGCCAGCUCCGACUAGCACCAAUUCGACUCUUCUCCUCUUUUCCAACGAGGACGAACAACAUACAUCGGCAAGCAUUUCGAGGUUUUGAGACAGAUCUUUAACAGAUCCGUCCAAGUAAGUUUCUUUUAUUAAUUUCAACUUUUUUUUUAUAUUUAUGGAUUUUAAGAUAUUGUGAGUUAUUUUUGUUGCUCCAUCUUGUUGAUUCUUAGAAAACUAGUCUAGGCUUUUAUUUCUCCAUUGUUGCUUGUUUGUUCUUGUGGUGAUCUCUUUUCAAAUGAAGAGCACAAAAUCAGUAGAGAUAUUUACCAAAAUAAUAAGGAUUUUUCCAAAAAACUAAACAAGUAAGAAUAUGUUAAUUUUCAAUUAAGCAAAAGAAGACAAAUAAGAAUAAUCAACCUAAGAAAAAAAUGAACAAAGCAGACAUGGAUAGUUUAUUUCCUUAACACGAGAGAACCAAAUAUGAUGCUUUAAUCUAUCAUCAAACUCUGAGAUAUACCUAUGCAUAUCUCAAAGGCUAACACUUGCGUAUAGUUCUUCUUGGACACCAUAGCUUGUCUUUCACUUUCAUCUUCCAUCCCCACAAUGUUUUAGUUGGAUUGAUGUCCUUGAGCCGAAAGUUUUUCAUAAACAACCUCUUUAUCUCCAUUAUAUAGUGGUAAGAUUUGCAUACUCUCCACAUUCUUCAUACUCUAACUAAGUGGAUUUCACUAGGUAUGUUGUUGAUGAUGAUUAUAUUUUCACGAGGGAAAAGAUGGAAAAGCUCCUUCUAGUGUUGAUAGUUUUAUAUGAACAAAUUUUCAGGUGGAAAGCUCUAAUCUUAAAAAUUGAAUUUCUACUAAAUUAAGAAUUUAAUUAAAUAAUAGUAUUUUAAUUAUCUAAAGAUUGAAUUAUAUAAGAUCAUUAAAAAUACAUCCAUAAAUACAUCUUCCUCACAUUAAAAAAAUGUAAUUGACCUAAAUGAACAAUUGUCAUCCAAAAAUAGAAAGGAGAAACACCCUAGAUAGGAGCGCUUUCUCUCGUAAGGAAGUUUUCAAACCAAAUAAAAAUUCAAAUUUCAUGUUUCUCGUAUAAAGAUUAUGAUUUUUUGAACGAACAAGAAUGAAUCAUAGUUUGGUCCUAAAGGAGGUAACAAAAAGAACCCGACUUAACAAAAUAUAAUUGAAUUGGUUGGAAAAUAAAUAAUGAAUAUUAAAUAGAAAUUUUAUAAAAACUAAUAUGUUCAUGUGUAAUUUUAUCAUUCCCUUGUAUUGCUAGCACAUAACCUUCUCUUUCGUGAACUUCAUAAAAAUAAUAGAGUAGUGUCAACAUGAGGAAAUAAUUUGUUACACACUCGAUGCAAUUAAAUUAGUAAAAUCAUCGUUAUGUUUCUCUUAACUAAACUGAAUUAAUAUAUGAUUCAGCUUACUUCAAAGAAAAAAUAAUAUAUACUAAUACUAAUUUAAUUACAUGUCAAGUGUGUGGCAAAAUAUCUCUUUAUGUAGUACAACACAAUACUUUAUCAUUUUGAUCAAGUUUACGGAAGACAAUGUUAUAUGUUAACAAUACAACGAAAUGUUUUAAAAUCAUGAAUGAAUAUGUUAGUUUAUAUAGUAUUAUUAUUUGAUAUUCAUUAUUAUUCGCUGACAAAUUUAAAUUUUUGUUAAGUCAACUUGAUUUUGUUACCCCUUUAGGACCUUCUAUAAUUCAUUUUAGUUCAAUCAGAAAAUCACCAUAUUAUAAGAGGACCUUUGAAUUUAUAGUUUGUUUAAAAACUUUCUUUCAAGGGAAAGCGUUCCUAUACAGGUGUUUCUCCCUUCUAAUUUUUGAUGGCAAUUCAUUCUAAAUUAAGGCAAAUCAACUUUUUUUUUAUAUGAGGAAGACGAACUUUGAUACAUUAGUUUGAGUAAAACUUCCUUAACAGGAUAACGAUCUAACCAAAGUGAAAUAAAAAGUUAUGUAGGAGUUGUUCGCUGGUAGCAUAGUUAUGAUGGUCAGCUACCCCCAAGAUGCGUACCCGACCAAAGAUCACAAGUGAUCCCAAGAUAACUUUGUUGGCAUACAUCAACAUACUAUGAAAUCUUAAAUGAAAUAAUACUGAGCGUAAGCUUUAUGAAAAAUGAAAUUGAUUGGGAAUACCCAUUCUAAAACUGAAUAUAUAAGAAAACUAAGAGUUUUAACACAACUUAAAGUCAAGCUCAAAUGAAAUAAAGCUAAAUCUAGUUAUGUCUGAAAUAAGACUAACUGACUGUUUUCUUGUUAACAAACAUGUGUAAAGCAGGCUUGAUUGUGAAGAAGUUGGAGAAACACGAGGAGAUGGUGAAUGCAUCCACUAUGCGAAAUGUAUUGUUUAUGCUAAAUUUGGUGAAGUAGGAAGAGAGUUGCAGGUUCCUAGUCUCUACGAGCAAUACUCGUUCUUGGGUUGAUAGUAUGUUUAACUAAUAAGUAAUUGGCUAUAUAUGUGCAAAUUUACAACCUAUUUGAUAUGUGUGCAUAGAUGCCGAAGCAAAACCAGUUUACAAAUGAUGUGCUUUGAUAGGUAUAUUCUCAAAUGGCAAAGUGAAAAGCUGUUGAUUGCAGAAUGUGGACUGAGACUCAUAGGAGAAAAGAUGGAAGUUAUGUAACUGAGGAAGCUAAGGAGAUGGGGUAAGUAUUCUUUCUGUAGGGAAUAACUCGAGUAGAUGAUUAUAGUAGUUCAUAAUUUGGGAUUAGGAUAGUGCAGUUGUAGGUAGCUUAGUAUUGUUGUACAUUUAUGUGGGAGAGGCAGAGAUUAGUCUCUUCUGUUUAUCGCCUUUGUAUCCAGUAUUAAUAUUUAGUGUUUACCGGGUACCUUAUUAACAGUCAUAGAAUCCAUUGGUACAUCAAAAGAUGGAACAAUAGUAUAAACUAUGAUACAUUCUUGAUUGAAUGAGAAUGGAUCUUUUAAGGAACAACUACGAUUCAUAUUUGUUCGAUUAAAAAAUUACAUAUUGCAAGGAGGGAGAGGAACUUUGAAUUUUUCAUUUGUUUGAAAACUUCCUUACAAGAGAAAAUACUCUUAUCUAGGGUGUUUCUUGCUUCUAAGUUUUUGUGGCAACUCAUUCAAAAUUGAAGCAAAUUACCUUUUCUUUUAAUAUGAGGAAGGUGUAGUUUCCAAAAGCUUAUAAAUACAUUUCCUCGUAUAGAAAAUGUAAUUUACCCCGAUUUAGAAUGAAUUGUCACCCAUGAAUAGAAGCGAGAAACACCCUAGAUAGGAACGUUUUCUCUUGUAAGGUAGUUUUUCAGACAAACUAAAAAAUUCAAAUUUCCUUACCCUCCGAUCAAGGGGUGAUUUUUUGAUUGAACGAGAAUGGAUUAUAGCCGGUUCUAAAAGACGUAACAAAAAAAUCGACUUACCACAAAUAUAAAUUAGUUUACAAACAAAUAAUGAAUAUCAAAUCAUUAUAUCAAAUAGUAAUAAUAUAUAAUUUAAUAUGUUCAUGUGUGCUUUUACCAUUUUGUUGUAUUGGUGGUAUAUAACUUUUUAUUCGAUGAACUUGAUCAAAAUGAUGGAGUAGUAGCACAACAUGACGAAAUAUAUUGCCACACACUCGACAUGCAAUUAAAUUAGUAUAAGCCACUGUUAUAUUUCUCUUACCUAAGCUGAAUCAUAUAUUAUUUAAAGUGAGAAGCUCCUAUCUUCACAUUUGGAUUGUCAUUUUCCCUCCACUAAAUCAAAAACAUAACACAUUACUAUUUAGUUUGAUCUUUAAUCAACUUUUGAUUUAGUGAAGUGACGAAAUGUAGAUCUAAUUAUAAAGAUAGGAGUUACCCACUUUAUAUAUUAUAUGAUUCAGCUUAAUUAAAAGAAACAUAACAGUGACAUAUACUAAAUUAAUUGCAUGUCGAGUAUGUGAAGAAAGAUUUUCUCAUGUUGUGCCAUUACUUUAUCAUUUUGAUCAAGUUAAUGGAAGAGAACAUUCUAUGCUAGCAAUACAACGAAAUAGUAAAAUUGUACAUGAAUAUAUUAGUUUAUAUAUUAUUAUUAUUUGAUAUUAUAGUUUGAUAUUCAUUAUUUAUUUGUUAGCCAAUUUAUAUUUAGGUCAAGUCGAUUUUGCUACACCUCUUUUAAGGAUCAACUAUGAUUCAUUCUUGUUCGACUAAAACAAUUAAAUUUUGAAAGGAGGGAGAGGAACUUUGAAGUUUUCAUUUGUUUUAAAACUUCCUUACAAGAGAAAACACUCUUAUCUAGGGUGUUUCUUGAUUCUAAUUUUUAUGGUAAUUCAUUUUAAAUCAAGGAAAAUUAUUUUUUUAGGGAAAAUGCAUAAGUACCCUCCAACCUAUACCCGAAAUCUCAAAGACACACUUAUACUAUACUAAGGUCGUAUUACCUUCCCCCCCCCCCCUCAAACUUAUUUUAUACAAAAUUUUCUAUCCCUUUUCGCCUGACAUGACACUAUCUUUUAGGCCAAAUGAUGUUGACAUUUUAUUCAAACUAGUGCCACGUAAGCCGAAAAGGGAUAGAAAAUUAUAUAUAAAAUAAGUUCAUAGGGGUGAUAAGACCUUAAUAUAGUAUACGUGGGUCUUUUGGAUUUUGGACAAAAACUGGGGGGGUGGGGGGGGGGGUACGAUGCAUUUUCUCUUUUUUUAUGCGAGGAAGGUGUAAUUUCCAAAAUCUUAUAAAUACAUCUUCCUCAUAUAGAAAAGGUAAUUUACCUCGAUUUAGAAUGAAUUGUCACCCAAAAUUAGAAGCGAGAAGCACCCUAGAUAGGAGUGUUUUCUCUUGGAAGGAUGUUUUCAAACAAAUUAAAAAAUCAAAGUUCUUCUUCCUCUUAUCAAGAUGAUGAUUUUCUGAUCGAACAAGAUAAAUCAUAGUCAGCUCUAAAGAGGUAAGAAAAAAAAAGAACUUUAAACAAAUAUAAAUUGGUUGGUAAAUAAAUAAUGAAUAUCAAAUUAUUGUGUCAAAAAAAUAUAUAUAUAAACUAAUAUGUUCAUGUGUAAUUUUACCAUUUCCUUGUAUUGCUAGCAUAUAGCAUUUUUUUCCAUGAAUUUAAUCAAAAUGAUAGAAUAGCGGCACAAUAUGCGGAUAUGUUUUGCCACACACUCGAUAUACAAUUAAAUUAUUAUAAGUCACCAUUAUGUUUCUUUUAAUAAACUAAGUUGAAUCAUAUAUUAUUUAUAGUGGAAAACUCAUAGCUUUAAAGUUGAAUUAUCAUAUUCUCCCUUCACUAAAUCAAAACUUAAUAUGAUAUUUAAUUAAACUUUGAUUGUUUGGAAGGGAAAAGUGGUAAUCCAACUGUGAAGAUAGGAGCUUCCAACUUUAAUUAAUAUAUGAUUCAGUUUGGUUAAGAAAAACAUAACGGUGACUUAUACGAAUUUAAUUGCAUGUCGAGUCUGUGGAAAAUAUUUCUUUUCGCUUUAUCAUCACUCUAUCUUUUUUAUCAUGUUCAUGUAAGAAGAUGUUAUAUGCUAGCAAUACAACGAAAUGGUAAAAUCAUACAUGAUAUAUUAGUUUACGUACUAUUAUUAUUAAUAUUAGUUGAUAAAAUAAUUUGAUAUUCAUUAUUUAUUUGUAGACCAAUUUUUAUUAUACUAAUUCAUUUUUUUGUUAUCUCUUUUAGGACCGAAUUUGAUUCGUUCUUGUUUGAUCAAGUCAUUCUAUUUUUUGCUGGGAAUUCAUCAAAAAUCGAGGAAACAACUUGUUCUAAUUAUUUGAAGAAGAUGAACUUUGCUUCAUUAAUUUACUCGAUCGGUAUGGCCUAUAAGUUGGUGCAUAUUUAGAUUUUUAUUCAAGAAGAUGAAAUGACGUAAAGAAAAUUCAAACUCAAAAUCAUAGUUUGCAUGAAGCUGUAGGAAGUCUUGUAGAUGCCUCUUUACAGAAUGAUAGUAGCGAACCUUCAGUAUUUGACCAUCACAAAACCUGAUAUCAGUCAUGCUGUAAAUUUAGCAAGCCAGUUUCUGCAAAGUCCAAACACUGAACAUAUUGAAUGGAUAAAAAGGAUUCUCAAGUACAUCAAAGAUACUAUACACUUUGGCCAAAGAAUUAUUUCUCAAUCACCAUGCAUGUUGUAUGUCUACUUAGCUUAUGAUUGGGGAGGUUGUACCACUAUUAGGACAUCAAUUACAUGCUAUAACAUCUACCAAGGUGCAAAUUGUAUCUUUGGACCUCCAAGAAACAGACUAUAGUAGCCAAUCGAGUGCUGAAACUUAGUAUAGAGCACUAGGCUCCACUGCCGCAAAAAUGACUUGGAUUUUGUAUCUUUUUCAUGACCUUGGAGUGUUCCUUCGAUCUAUUCCUACGUCGUAUUGUGAUUAUAACACGAAUGCCUUGUACAUGACGAUUACUCUAGUUAUGCAUGAUAGAACAAAAAAUGUAUUAAUGGACUAUCAUUUUGUUUAUGAGAAAGUGUCCAUGAUAUAACUUCUUACUCACUUUGUAAAGUCUAAGGUUAGCUAAUUGAUAUUCAUACCAAAGUCUUAACAAAGCAGGUUUUCUUUAAUUUUGCAGCAAGAUAGGAGUUACAGUUCCUCCGGUCACUAGCUAGAGGGGAAGUGUUGAAGGAAGCAUGAAGAUUGAUGAAACAUGUCGAAGGAACAGUAGACUGAUGAACAUGUUGAAGGAGAAGAUUCAUCGAAGCAAGCUAACAAGUUUGAGUUGGAAUCAUACUAGGACUAAACUACUAAAUUCUAAGAUAUGUACGACUAAGCUACUCUAUAUUGUAGGAGUCAACUAGGAUAAGGUUUUUGAGUUAUAAUACAAUACUACUCAUGUAAAUAAUUGUGUUGUAGUAGGAUUCAUAGUAUAUCUAGAAUAUGACUCUUCUUUUAUAUAAGGAGCUUGUGACUCAACAUUUUUCAUCAAUAUAUCCUCAAUUUCUCCAUAGUUAAGUGAGUUUCUACAAUAAUAUAUCUAUAGCAAUAAAAUUUAAGCUAUGAAUUCAAAAAAUAUAGCUAUUACGUAGUAAUAGCCACAAAAUUUUGAACACCGUAGCUAUCUAUAAAUUCAUAAAAUUUCUUAGCCAAAAAUAUCAAAUUGAUGAAGCUAGUUCAUUAUUUUUGCUAUGAUUAUUAAUAAUAGUGGGAGUAAUUGUCUAAGUAGCUACAACUUUAUUGCUUUGAUAAAUUCUUUUAGUUGAUCGUAUGUUUUUGCUAUGCGAUAAAUAUUAUUAUGGCUAUAUUAACCUUUUAGCCACAAGAAAUUAAUUGAAACAAAUAUUUUUUUAUAUAAGAUAUUUUUCAUCAAUUUGUUAACGCCCAAUUUUGACCGACCUUUUACCAUUUUUAGGAUUGUUAUUUGAUUAAAUACGUAUUUUUAAGAUUUAUUUUAAAUUAAGAAUUUUAGUCGAUUUUGCAUAAAAAUUAUAUAAUUUAGUAUGUUUACUUUAUAAAUUAUUGUAAAUAUUAUUAAAAUAUUUUAAAAUGAUUAAUAAAUUUUUAAAUAAUAACUUCAUCAAAUGUUUUAAAAUUUAAGUGAUUUUUAAUUACAUAAAAAUUAGGUAAUUUACCCAAGCUUUGCGCGGGUAUAGUUUAUAUUUCUAACCUUUUGAACAACCUUUUUAAUAAUCGCUUCUAUAAAGAAAUAAAAAGUAAAUUGUGUUAGGUUCUUAGAACAUUUCUACGAAAACUAAAUGAUUUAACGUCAUCACAUAUCUCAAGAAUUGUAAAGAGAUCAUUAAUGAUUAAAAAUAUCUUGAUAAGAUAAGAAAUGCUUAAUGUGUCAAGAAUGCCUAUGAUUAGACCAGGGUUCACACGGAUUGAUGCGCGAAGAACCAGACCUCGGAACCCUUGCUACAGCCAAGACAACUAAUUUGGGGAGUUAGUUGAGCUUGUAAAGGUUGGGUCCAACCAUGUAGGGUCUCGAAUACGAAGAUUUAGUCGAAGGAGUCUUUAUCGGACUUAAAAAGAGGAAAUCUUAGGUUUGAAGGGUCUACUAGUAAAAUGGUCUUUUCCUGGUUAAGGGUAGUAUCGUAGUUACCCUAAAUAUGUAAUUGAUUAUUUAAUUAAUAAGGUGGAGGGACAAUUUGGGGAGAGACAGCCGGAAUUAGGCUCUUGAAGUGAAGUCUUGCUCCACCCGGGUUCAAACCUAGGUGGAAGCAAUGGAUUAAAGUGAUUUUUAUCUAAGCUAUUGAAUUAAUGUAAUUAAUUAAUAUUUAAUAUUCAUUAGCUGAUUUAAUAUAAAAUCAAAAUCAGAUUUUUAUUGAAUAAACAAAAACCUUAUUGACUAAGUUCUAAAACUAGACUCCUAAGCCUCCUACAACUCCCACUCGCUCACGCUUAUCUCUCCACUCUCACGCUCAAUAUCUUUUCUUCUUUCUUAUGUAUUCUCUAUGCAAAAAUAAUAGGCAAGAUCAUAAAAAUAAAGCAAUUUCGUCACACUUGAAGAACUCACACGAAAUCACAAGAAAACAUACGGUUAAUCGCACACUAGGCUAAGGGAGGUUUUCAUUCAAGUGGAGUUGACAUUGAGGAGGCUUAAGACGUCAUUUUGGGUGAAGUUUUUGGGCAUCAAGUCAAGGGUUUAACAUAAAAAAAGGUAUGGGUUCUCUUCUCUCUUGAUCCCUUUCCCAAGAGACCCCUCAAGGUUCAGAUUAUUCAGUCCGAAAACUAAGAUUGUUCCCCUUUGCAUGCCCCUGUCACUAGCUCCCAAUGAAUCAUAGAUUGGGUAUGAUUACUUGUAGAUUUAGGUGUAUGGUAGGUUUUUGUGAUGAAUAUGAUUAUCUUUGUGUACUUGAAAUCCUAUGAAAAAAGACCAUGUGUUCGAAAUUAUGUGCAAGUGUGUGUGUGCAAGCAUGUUACAGUGACUAAGGUCCUUGGGUUAAGGCUCCAAAUUCGGUAAUGUUAUGGUUGUUAUUUUACAUUCAUAAACGUAUGUACAUCGUGAUGUCCAUUAAAAAUGAAAGUAUGGCUUAUUUGAGUACCAAUCUUUUGACUAAACGAUUUUAUAAAAAUGCACCCCAAAAUGUAUUAGAUGUUCUAUGAAUUUCCCUAAGAGUUCAAGUGAAAGUGUUGGUGAAAAUGAGAUGAAAAAUGAUUAAAUUUUCAGCAAACCUACAAGUUUGGUUUAGGCUAAAUAAUGAUGAAUAAAUCUGGAAAUUAUUUGAGUGUAAAGGGAUGAGACCACCAGAAUUCGAACAUGUGAACUCACCCGUAUAAUGCCAUAAAAUCGUGAAAAGGGAAAUGGGGUCAAGGGGAAUUGAUCUUGGGUGGGCUGGCUGAAAAGUGAAGUACAAAAUUUAAUAAAAAUAAAAUGGGAGGCGAGGGAAUCGAACCCACAACCUUCAGUCAGCGAGUGGAAGUAAGGAAAAAAUAAAAGAAAAGAAAUGUGAGGCGUGGGAAUCGAACCCACGACCUCAAGGUAGUGAAGGGAGUUAAAAGAAAAAUGUAGAUAAAAAGAAUUGUGAGAUGUGGGACUUGAACCCACGAACUCUAGGAAAUAGCUGCGAAAUAAAAUAAAAAUAAAGAGAGGACCCCACAACCUCAUGGUCUAUGCAAAUUUUACAAAGAGAAUUAAAUGAAAAAAAAUUGAAGGGGCUAUGGGAUUCGAUCCCACAACCCCUCGGCCAAGUAGGAGGAGAUUCCAAGGAUAUAAAGAAAGAGGAAAUGUUGAUGUUGGGCUCGAUUUAGGGUCCCAAUGUCAUGUGGAUUAAAAAUAAAAUCAAUGAAAAAUGUAAGUGUUGUGCAAGGGAUUCGAACUUUGGUUCCCUUAUUGAUACAUAAGUCAUACAUGAAUUAAAUGUUCAAGAAUAAUGCCACCUACUUAGAUCGAAAUCCAGAUCUUGGUAUACAUACAAGAUGCAUAAGUCUUGUGCUACAUAAUCGUAGGAAGAUAUGUAUCACUUAACAAACUAUGAAAGAAGCCUCAUGACUUGUAUGUACAUACCCAUAAGUCUACCAUAUGUUUAAAAAUAAGUGAACCUAAGAUGUAUGUAUUGAAAUAAUGAAACCCUAGAAGGGUUAAGUAAGGGUCUGAAACACACAAAUGUCCAAGUCCAUUGACAUAUGAUGAAAUGAGCAUUCACGUAAAAAGGGGCGAGUAAUUAUGAAGAGUAAAUGUGCUAAUGUUAAUGAAUGUGGUGACAACAUGAUAUGAGGAUAAUGUAAAAGAUGAUAACAAUCUCAAAUGAGCCUAAGUAAAUAUUACCAAAACAUACUCACCUAUGAGAGUGUAAAGUUAAUAAAGAGACCAGUCUCUAUGAACACUCUAAUGAAAUUAUUGAGAUUAACACACUUAAUAGUAAUGAUGAGAUGAGAAAUCAUCUAUUGAGUUAUGAUGUCCUCAUACUAGAAGCCAGCUUCCAUGACGUAUGAGUUGAAUGUAAUGAAAUUUUAUACUGAGCACCGAUAGAUUAGCUAUGAGCGGUGAUGCCUUAUUUUGGGAAGGGCGGAGGUUCACGUAACUCUCAUGAGAUGAGACUGUCCGGCAUGCCGGGUAUGAGUUUUCUUAUAUCUUCUAGUCUUCAAACCUAUACUUUCAAUAUAGGGAUCUGGCGGGGUUCAAUUCCCAUGUACGCUAGCAUGUUUUGGGUCACUUCGGAUGGUGAUUCCACCUCUUUUUCACUGGAUUUUACGAUGCUCACAUGAUCUAUGUCGGUUAAAGUUAAAGUUCCCUAUGAAUGAAUGACGUUAGCCUUAAAUGAUGCACAUAAUGAAAUGAAUGAUACCAAAGGUGUUAGUAUAGGAUAAUAAAGAGGUGAGAUAGAGUUAAUGACACUAGGUCAUUCGUGAUCAUUGCACAAUGAACCCGAUGAAAGUCUUAAACUACAUCCUAGGUACAGCUGGUGUUUACACUAGCCUAUGAAUGAGAUGAAAUGAAGUAUAUAUGAAUGAAUGAAGCAGACUCUAUGUUUGCUAAAAAAGGCUCCCUAGUAAAGGUCUCAUAUCUUGAGCCUUCAUUUUGAAAAGUGUUGAUGUCAAGUCCAUGAUUCCAAGGUCUCAUGACAUAUGAACGAAUAAUAUGAAAAAUGGUAUGUGUUAUAUGCAAUAUGUUAUGUGCUAUGUGCAAAAUGUUAUGUAUUAUAUGCAAUAUGAUAUGUGUUAUGUGCUAGAUGUUAUGUGUUGUGUGCAAUUCGAUAAGUAUGAUGAUGCAUCUUACUUUCAUGACAUAACUUUCCUAAUCCAAAUUUGGAAAGCUCACUAACUCUUCAUAAAAGUUGGAACUUUUCAUAAACUUCGCAACUUUUCAUGAAAAAAGUUACAACAUGUCAUAAAUUUAGAACAUAUCAUAAAAGUCACAAUUUUUCAUGAAAGAGGAAGACUAGUUUUGGAAAUAAAAUAAAUUAAAGAGAAUCCUUGCUUGUGGUGUCGCCACAUAGACGGUCAUAAGGUUCUCUUUAAUAUAAAUAUAUGAUAUUUUAGUAUAUGUAGUAUUUUAAUUGAAUAACAAUUCCUAAUUUUUUCUCAAAAUUAUUUAAAAAUUAGCCUUUUAUUCCAAUUUAUUUUAAUUCUACUCACUCCAAUUUAUUCAAAUCCUAGCCCUUAUCUCUUAUGAAAUCAAUGGUUGAGAUUAAAUUCUUCUUUUCCCUAUUUAUAAACUAUCAAAAAAUCUAAACCUAAACCCUCACCUUCUUAUUCUCUCCUCCUCCCUGCCUUCCCCUUCACACAUCUCUUCCUCUUCUCCUCUCCAGCGAGCUGCCACGCAGCUCCGAUCAGCGGCGACCAGUGAGAGAGGGCAGCGAAAUUCCAGCGAGAUGCUCCAGGCGGCGCUGACCCUUCCCCCUUUUCUCCUUUCUCUCAGAUCUCUCCUCCCUCCUCUUCUCCUUGUUCUUUUUUCUCUCUCUUUUCAGUGCCACCAGGAAUCAGGCUCCGGCGAAGAACAGCGACCGGCAGCAGCAAGCCAACGCCAGCAACAACAACCAGACGCUGCCUCAUCUCGAUCUCAGGUGAGCAUCUGCGAAAGCCAGCUCGGACUAGCACCAAUUCGACGAUUAUCCUCUUUUCCGACGAGGACGGACAACAUACUCCUGCGAGCAUUUUGAGGUUUUGAAACAGAUCUUUAACAGAUCCGUCCAGGUAAGUUUCUUUUAUUAAUUUCAACUUAUUUUUUAUGUACAUUUCUGGAUUUUAAGAUAUUGUGAGUUAUUUGGGUAGCUCCGUCUUGUUGAUUCUUAGAAAACUAGUCUAGGCUUUGAUUUCUCCAUUGUUGCUUGUUUGUUCUUGUGGUGAUCUCUUUUCAAAUAAAGAGAACAAAAUCAGUAGAGAUAUUUACCAAAAUAAUAAGGAUUUUUCCAAAAAAAAUUAACAAGUAAGAAUCUGUUAAUCUACAAUUAAGCAAAAGAAGACAAAUAAUCAACCUAAGAAAAAAAUGAACAAAGCAGACAUGGAUAGUUUUCCUUAACUUGUAAAUGAUACAUUUUCAUACUAAACCUAAAUGCAAUUUGACAGCCUGCCUCAGUACUUGUUAGGUUAUUUCAGGGUCUUACCAGCAUUUGACAGACAAGACAAAUGUCCUCUAAUUAAUGCAACAAUUGAAGAAAAUAAUGCUUUUAUAUAUGGUUAUAACUAAUCUCUCCAUAACUUGUGUAGGAGUCUUCCGUUGUUCGUAGACGAGAAAGACGAGCGAGGGAGAAACAGAUAGUCUCCAUGGCUUCACCAAGUAAGCAUCGCAAACCCCAAAUGGUAAUUCUUGGAAUAUAUUUGUUGUAUGUAUGAUUUCAUUUUGUUAUUUGUUGUAUUUAGUAUUGGAAUGAAACAUAGCAGAGAGGAUUUAGUACUCAUAUCUAAGUGCUUCUCUAUAAAGUAAAGAGUUAUCGAAACUGAUUCGGUUAUGAGGUUUUGAUUCCUCUAAACGCGAUAUGGAUAGAAAUCAGCCCAAAAGUUUGAGAGAUUUUUGUGGGAUUGAAUGAACCAACCCGCCUUUUGGAACCAAAUAUGAUGCUUUUAUCUAUCAUCAAAUACAUGAACAACUUAUUUCUUAUUCAGCUACCCAACGAUGAUUCCAAUAUAAAUACAUUUCGGAAACAAAAAAAAUUCGAAAAAUAAGUUACCUUGUCGAAAUGACUGAGAUCAACAUUGUCAUCGAGGGAAUGAACAGCCUCAAGCAAAAAUCUGAUCCCAGUCAUUUCGACAAGGUAACUUAUUUUUCAAUUUUUUUUGUUUCCGAAAUGUAUUUAUAUUGGAAUCAUCGUUGGGUAGCUGAAUAAGAAAUAAGUUAUUCCUGUAUAUCUCAAAGGCUAACACUUGCGUAUAGUUCUUCUUGGACACCAUAGCUUGACUUUCAAUUUCAUCUUCCAUCCCCACAAUGUUUUAGUUGGAUUGAUGUCCUUGAGCCGAAGGUCUUUCAUAAACAACCUCUUUAUCAACAUUAGAUAGUGGUAAUAUUUGCAUACUCUCCACAUUCUUCAUAUUCUAAUUAAGUGGAUUUCACUAGGUAUGUUGUUGAUGAUUAUUACAUUUUCACGAGGGAAAAGAUGGAAAAGCUCCUUCUCGUGUUGAUAGUUUUAUAUGAAUAAGUGUUCAGGUGGAAAGCUCUAAUCUUAAAAAUUAAAUUACCAUCUUGUCCCUCUACUAAAUUAAGAAUUUAAUUAAAUAAUAGUAUUUUAAUUAUCAAAAGAUUGAAUUAUAUAGGAGAAACACCCUAGAUAGGAGCGCUUUCUCUCGUAAGGAAGUUUUCAAACAAACAAAAAAUUUAAAGUUCCCCUUUCUCCUAUAAAGAUCGUGAUUUUUUGAACGAACAAGAAUGAAUCAUGGUUUGGUCCUAAAGGAGGUAACAAAAAGAACCCGACUUAACAAAAUAUAAUUGAAUUGGUUGGAAAAUAAAUAAUGAAUAUUAAAUAGUAAUUUUAUAAAAACUAAUAUGUUCAUGUGUAAUUUUACCAUUCCCUUGUAUUGCUAGCACAUAACCUUCUCUUCCGUGAACUUCAUCAAAAUGAUAGAGUAGUGUCAACAUGAGGAAAUAAUUUGUUACACUUUCGAUGCAAUUAAAUUAGUAAAAUCAUCGUUAUGUUUCUCUUAACUAA
rnacentral:lncRNA from 1 species